rnacentral:lncRNA from 1 species
CUCUUUUUUUAUGUUUUGUUCCUCUUUCCUCAAAUCUUGCAACCUCAAAUCUUGCAAAUAAAUGUUCUAAAAUUAUGGUCCAUAGGAUUGGUAUUAUUUUGUCUCUUAAUUUUUCUCAUGUGAAGGUGGGGAAGUACAAUAUUCUCAUGUGAAGGUGGGGAAGUACAAUAAGUGAAAUAGACCUCUGAUGAACCCGGACCACACCUAUUUGUUCUCCAUUGGCAAAAACAAUUUAGACAUGUACUUAUAAAUAAAAAUAAAUAGUGUCAUUUUUUCAGCACUCAUAUAAAAUGGUGUUGUUUUUUCAAUAAUCGUGUGUGGUGCAUGGAAAUUUCAUGACUUCUUUUGUCCUCUCACCACCAAAGUUGUAGAAUGAGUAGCGGAUGGGGCAAACUAAUUUUAACUCAGUUUGACACACAUAUUUGAUUUGCCAUAAUUUAUCGCAUUAAAAUGAGGGAAUGCAUUACAUCUCUCAGCAAGCCACUCAAAAUUAUGCUAUAUUUCAGCCUUUUUAUAAGGAAUGGAAAGAUUAAAAUGUAUUAUCAAAAGUUGAUCCAAGUCUAAUACGAAUAAUUUUCUUUCCCUCAAAUAAAUUCAUGAAUGGUAGAAGUUGAUGCAUGAGAACUGUCGAUUUGUGAGGUAAGGCAAAGUGGAAAAGCAAUGGCAAAGGCAAAGUGGAAAAGCAAUGGCAGGCGAGCGGCAAAGACACUAGAUCUCGCGGUGGACAACAAGGGUACAAACAUAAAUUCGUAUUCUGCUGAGAUUCUCAGCAUCAUCAUUUUGCUUGAGAACUUUUUGUGGCUGCAAAUGUUUUUUCAUCUUAAAAUAAUACAUAUUCUAUUGUGUAUCAUUUACUAGUAUCUGAAAAUUUUAAUAAUAUAACGUGGCUAUUUUAUUUGACGCAAUAAUGCUCCUUUAAUUUGAUUCAUCAAAUAGUAGUACAUCCGACUCCUUAGACUUUUGAAAUUGAAAAGGGGAGGAAAAUUGAAACCUCAUGAUGCAUGUGGGUUAGGUGAGCCACCAAGUUGGUGUUAUAUGGCUUUCUUCAUCUUCCAUUUUGCACUUUCUUCCCCAAAUUCUGUGGAUAAUUAUAUAGACAUGCUAAUAUGUGGUCCAUAGGAUUGGUAUGUAGUGGUGUGUGACUUUUGCUCCUUUGAAGGCGCUAUCAGUCAGAUGGAGAAAAGUAAAAUAAAAUAGACACCUCGGUGAACUCAAUCCAUGGCUUUCAUUUUUCUACGAAAACAAUAUAAAGAUGUAUAUAUGGUGCUGUUUUUCAAUCCCCAUGUGCGGUGCAUGGGACUUCUUUCUUGACUUUGCCGCCAUUUCUAUGAAAUGAGUACAGUUUAUGGAUGGGACAAGAAAUUAUUAAAACUUUGACUUGGCAUGCGCCACUAAACUAACAUACAUAUUUAAUUUUCCCGGAGAAUUUUGAGUACAGUUUAAUGUGAAUACUUGUCUUUCAGUUUAUGAAUGAUUGCCCCAUGUGUUCAUCUUCAUAGCAAUGGUAAUUAAGAGUUGGUGCAUGACUAUUGAUGAAUCAUGUAUGCUGAUAACAAAAUUUACCGUCUAGGUGUUGCUAUAUUUGUCCCCCACAACAAUCAAAGUUAACGACGUUUUUCCACAUGCGAAGUGUACAAACGCAUUGGCUUGAAUGGAACAUUUUAGAACAAUGACAUUUUAGCAUGCAUUAACUUGGUAUGUCAAGUGUACGACGACAACUCACUCAUGUGGAUAAUAUUAGUUUCUUCUAAAUCAUAUGUCGUUAUUGUCCCCACAACAAUGAAACUAACAGUGUUUUCCACGUGCAAAGUGCGCCUAAUCAACACAUGGCCCCAUUACACAUCAACUUCAGUAUAACAGUGACAUUGUAGCUAACAUUAACUUGGCAGGUCACGUGCAUGUUAGCUAUACAACAAUAAUUAAAGAGCGCCCCUUAUGCUAAAAACCACUAGUUCAUUACCGUGUGUCUCACACGCUUCAUUGCCGUUUUCAAUUCUGCUAAUCCUAUAACUCUUAAAUAUCCAUCUGAUUAUUUAUUUUUGAAGAAAAUUUUAGUGGCCCAGAUUACGUCGACGUUACACAAGUUUCUUUUACGUAUAAUUUAGCCGGGGAUUUGUUUCGAGACAAGUUUAUGCAAAUUCUUAUUCUUGGAUACAGUACAUACAACAACAAUUUACUUGUGAGAAAUAAUUAUAUAAUAAUGUAUUGUGAACAACAUGAGUACUUGCCCUGAAAACUAUAAGCAAGACUUGAAGGUUGGGUCUGCCUAGCUAAGAUGUGAGUUAGUUGUUAGUAGCAUGGAUAGAAAAAUCCACCACCUUACCCGGAAAAAAAAAUGCAUCGCCAGGUCAUAGUCUCUCAUUGUCACCGACUACGAUAACAAAGACAAAACAGACAUAUAUAGACAAAUAACAGAUGGAAAUUCUUCUCGCCUGCUAGCUUGUUUGUUGAGAAGGAUCAACUGGUCGAGAGAUAGAUAGAUGAAUAAUCUGAUCGAGAGGGAUAGAUAGGCAAUUUUAUAGUUUGCUUCUUCAUUUACAUUUUCAUUUUCGUCCUCAUCUAAAUCAACAGUAUAAAUGUCACCGUGUAAGCAGUCACCAACCAAAAGGAUUAUAAUUAGCAGUGUUCUCUGUGUGUGAAAUACAUCUAAUUAAAUCAUGGUCCCGCCUUUGUGGUUGCGUUGAUUUCCAAAAAAAAUCCAUCAACCGCAUUUUUCAUAUAAUAGAAGUCAUUUUGUAACAGUGGCUUUAUGAACUUUAAUUCAACGUGCAUGUGUUCUAAAUUCUGCGCACUCUAGAUUUGUACGGCAAGAAUCAACAAGUAGUGCAAAUUAUGCCACUUUUUCUCCACGUUUUUUUAGUUGAACUUUUUCUCCACGUGAGAAGCUACUGUAUAGUUCAUGACUGUGGGCCAUGAAGAUGUGAUGGGCCGAAGCUGUCCGCAUCGACCGCUGGCCCAAUCUUGAGGUUGACCAGACGUUGCAAUGCAUCCACUAAAAGACUAAAAAAAUCCAGUAAGAUAAAUUCUCUUCAAAAAAUCCCACAUAAAAAGGACAGCUGGAUUACACUGUACAUACCUCCACCAAGAGUCUAGUCAUAUCAGUUCAAAGUCAUCGUCUAGUUAUUUGAAAAGAAACACUAUUUUCUUUUUGGAUAUUUGUUUUCCCCUUUUUUGCAUAGAUUAGGACAUAGUUUUAUUUUAUUUUAUUUUAUUUUAAAUUCCAACUUCUUUGUGGGGGAAUAACGCUCCUUUACUUCGAUUCUCAAAUAGUGCAUCCUAGCUUAGGGUAAAGUGGAUAAAAUCAUUUCGUGUCCAGAUCAAAUGUCGCUAUAUUUGUGUGUCGACUUUAAUAAAAGAAAAGAAAGCGUUAUAAUAGUGACAUUUUAGCAUGCAUUUAUUUCACGUGUAUGUCCUCUAAAUAUUGGCACACUAGCUAUAACAGUAACUAAAGAGUGCACCUUAUGCUGCAAAAUACACGUUUUUAAAAUAUUUGAGGGGCAAACAUUUUUGUGUCUGCUUGAAUUUUUGUUAAUAAUAAAAUAAAAUAAAAUAAAUUUAUAAAAAAUACUAUCCUUGUAAGUACUAGUAAUAUGACAACUAAUUAGUCGUGAAAAAAAAUGAAAAUUGUAAUAGUAUACAUGAGCACCAUAACUAAAGCUCUUUAUAGCGGACAAUCCAAUGAAGCUUUUUGCUGUCCUUUUCUUUCAGGGUCAGGUCAGUCAGCUUGGCAGGACAAUUGGGGUUUCUAGCGGGCCACGGAAAUCUCACGGGCCGAGGCUGUCUUUGUUUAUCCCUGGCCCAAUCUUUUUCUUUUGAUAAAUGGCCCAAUCUUUUUUAUUGACCAGACGUUGGAAUGCAUCAUCCUCCACUAAAAUGAAAAAUUCUCUCCACACUCAAAAUCUCUCAGAAAAUCCGCGAGAAACAGAUAAAAAGAUGGUGUGCUUGUCGAUCGCAAUGCGGUUGUAUUUUUGCAGACUUUUUUCUAAGUUUUUGCAGAGAUAAAGGUUGUGUAUUUCUCUUUUCUUUUCUGGCGUGAACCAUGCCAAAUUACAGUAGGUAGUACUAUGUGGAGGUUAGUGCAACCUCUGUUUUUUUUUUUUUUGGAAAGACCCGGAGGUUGACUUGACCCUGGCUACCUAAGCUGUGGUUGGGUGCUGUUAACACGCAUAGAAAAAUCCACCAUCUCCACGUCCUAGUCUUUAAUCGUCAUCAGACAAUGACAGCAAGAAAGAACAGAGCACACAUAAACAAUACACACAUAAAAAUGACAGGAAUAUUCCUCUCGCUGGCUCUCUUCUUAGCUGAGAAUGAUCGACGGAUAGAGAGAGAGAUGGGUGGAUAAUUUGAUGCUUGAUUGAGAGGAGGUGGUGUACCUGAGGAGAGGGUGGUGAUGGGGAGGCCGCAGCGUGAGUCGUGGAGGAGCAGCUCCCGGACGCAGAACCCGUACCGCCGGAAGAAUCCUUCCUCGCCGCCGGGGUCGGAGCAGGAGCGGCGGCGGAGGCCUGUGAGGAAGACCCUGGCCUCCUGCCUCGUGGCCGGGUCGUGGAGGCGGGACAGCAGCUCCCUGAGCUCGCCGUACGCCGCGUCACCCGACGCAGCGCACCGCUCCAGGAACGCCGCCUCCAGCUCCGGCGACUUCGACGACGGGGAGUCCUCCUGCACGGCGGCGGCGACGCUGCCCAUGGCGAUCAGUUCAGAGCUGGACCGAUCGCGGAAGGAAGAAGAAGAAGAAGAAGAAGAGAUUAGCUAGUGGCGUGUGGCGGGCUGUGUGGGUGUCGCUGGCUGGUUGUUGUGUGCCCUAGUAACAUAUAUGGUGGCGGUCGCUCGCUGGUUCGCCGCCGGAUGCGAUCGAGUGACUAGUUUAAUAAAAAGGUCUGAAAGAUGAAUGUCCAAAUUAAUCGGGAUCAACAUAUAUGGUGUCAUCAUUGGAGCGCACGCAUGUGGCUGGAGAUCGAUCCAUGGAAUUGUGAUGCCUACGUGCGUCAGAUUGUAUAUAUAUUCAUCUAGCAUUCUUCUAUAUAUAUAUAUCUAUCUGUAUAUAAAUCAUGCAUCUUUCAUGGCGCCAAGGGUCGUCGAGGAACCUGCACUGCAACUACAUCUAGAUCAGUGUUGGCUUUUAUUUAAUUCCUUGUGCAUGCACAAGUGGCUGCUAGAUCUUGUUAUUUGUCCGUGGUGCACCUUUUACUUGUUUAACAUGCAUGCUGCGAUCCACCGCCCCCCUACUAACUUCCAUGUCCAAUUCAAGCGAUCGAAUCGAAUUAACAAACAAAUGGUGGUGGCCUAUACACAAGUGGGACGUCGAGAUGCAAGGGCGAAGGUGAUCGCUGAGGCGAGCUUUGGAUUUUAAUCAUCAGCGGGUUUUAUAUGAUCCUUCUGGGUUUUUUAUUUUCAAAAAUAUCGGUUUCCGGUUAUCAUUGAUGACGACCGAUAAAAGAGAACAUAAAUCCAGCAGUGUUAUAUGGUCCUUUUGUUUGUUCAUUUUCAUGCAUAGUACUCCCUUCUUUUCUUUAUACAAGGCCACUUUGUUUUUCAUAUCAAACUUUGACUUGUAAUUUUGCACAACAAAAUAUGGGUUAUAUGUCCUUUGAAAUGUGCAUCCAAUGACAUACUUUUUGUGGCAUAUAACUUACUUUUUGUUGGUAAAACUGAUGCUCAAGGAUAGACAUAAAAAUAUGAAGUUGCCUUGUAUACAUAAAUAAAGGGAGUAUGAUUUAUGAACUUAUUAAUCAAUAAAAAGUUGUUAAUUAGGUAAAUGUAGGCAUCCCCAGUUGCAAUUUGCCGGUAUUCUAUCUCUCCUUGGUGCAUGAUUGAUCAGCCAGCCCACUAGGUCGGACUCCUUCAUCAUGUAUUAAUAAUUAAGCAACCAAGUGGAUCAUUGUCGAAUUAUGUUAGCAUGUGACUUGCGUAUAUUCUGCUGCCUUUGUUGGAUCCUACAAGUGCAAUGAGUAUAAUAUCGCUCUAAUUAAUAGAACAUUUUCGCAAGGCAGAUCACUUGCUUCGUUCUAAAAUAGAUGACAUUUUGGACUAUUGUUUCACGUUUUACUAAAGAAUAUGGUAAGCCCACCACCAUAUCUGAUUUUUGGAGGGCACUCCUCUCUGGGAAGUCCCAACAUGCGAAUUUAAUCUUUUUUGUGUUGAAAUAUAGAUUUAAUCUUGAUGAAUGCUGUAAAUUUUUUUCAUAUGAUUCGUAUUGCUUUAACUGGUCUAUUUUUUUUGUGUUGAUUGUCUCAUCUACUUGUUUUAUUUAAUUUGCCUAAUUAUGUCCUUUUGUUUUUGGGUUUGGAUUGCGGAAAUAUGAGUCCGUAAAAGAUGCUUCUCUAGAAAGUACGUGUUUGAAUAAAUAUGCAAUGGACCUUAGUAGAGCAUCCAUGAAGAGAUAAUAUCGAACUCACUAUUCCUCUGCAGCACAUGACAAUCUGCUUCCCAGGUUGACUGCUAGUAGAGCAUAGUACUUGUGACGCCCGGAUAAUCAUGCUACAGUAAUUCCACGUUAAUGAUGCCACGUCACCCCGGUUACCGUUGCUAAUCUCGCGUUGGAUCAAAAACUUUUCAAAUUCAAAAGUUUAAAUAAAUGUCAGACGUCAAACUUUUCAAAAGUUAAAACAAAAUUGUUCGGGAGGUGCCAUAUUUUGCAUAUGUAAAUAUGGUGUAAUAAACACAUUUUUGUAAAAUGCCUAAAUGAUUUAAAGUGAAAUAAAACAGAAAAGAAAAUAAAUAAAAGAAAGAAAAUACAAAAGAGAAAAACAAACUAGCAAAAACAAAAAAAACAAAAGGGCUAACACCCCUCCCACUGGGCUCAGGCCCAACAGGCCACCGGCCCAACCGGACCAACCGCCCCCACUCCCCAUAUCCCCCCACUCCGGUACCCCGUACCCCCCACCGACACCCCACUCCCCCCUCCUCGAAAUAUCUCCUCCUCUCUCCCCCGAUUGGAUCGGGAUCGGAGGAGGAGGCCGCCGCCCGGAUCGCCCGUCGACGUCCAUCGCCGCCUCGCCCCCGCCACUCGACGCGCUCGCCGGUGCCCCGUCGCCCUACGCCGUCGCCACCUCGACCCCGUUGCCUCGCCUCCUCACCUCCUCCUCGUCCCGAGUCGAGGCCGUCAUUCCGGCGCCGCGCCCUCGACCCCGUCGCCCUGCCGCACUCGUCGCCGGCGACCCGGACCACCUCCCCGUCUCCGUCGAUCGUCCCCGUCCUCCUCCCCACGGGUCGCCCCCGAGCCUCGACGCCCAUGUGCCCCUGCAAACGCCGGUGAGGCCCUCGGCCUCCGCCUCCCCUUCCUUUCGUCCGCGGUCACCGCGCUCGUCCACCUUGCGCCCGUGCAGUCCGCUCGCCUCCGCCCCGUCUCUGCCUUGCGGUCGAGCACGGCCGCGCCCCUCGCCGCACGCGCUCCGGCGCCCGCUCACGGCUGCCGCCAUCCUACACCGUCCUGCUGCCUCCCUGCUCCACCAUGGCCGCCGCCCCAACCGNNNNNNNNNNNNNNNNNNNNNNNNNNNNNNNNNNNNNNNNNNNNNNNNNNNNNNNNNNNNNNNNNNNNNNNNNNNNNNNNNNNNNNNNNNNNNNNNNNNNNNNNNNNNNNNNNNNNNNNNNNNNNNNNNNNNNNNNNNNNNNNNNNNNNNNNNNNNNNNNNNNNNNNNNNNNNNNNNNNNNNNNNNNNNNNNNNNNNNNNNNNNNNNNNNNNNNGCAGCCGCAGGAGCCCGACGCACCUCGCUGCAGCCGCAGGAGCCCGACGCACCUCGCUGCAGCCGCAGGAGCCCGACGCCUCCACUGGCCUGGGCGGGCGCCCGUUCGGGCUGGCGCCCGCACGCCCCACGCCCGCUAUGGCCCCUGUGCCUAUGACAUGGGGGCCCACACUCCAGAACGUUUAAUAACAAAAAAAAGAAUUUAAAUAAUAAUAAUAAGUAAAAAUAUUAAAUAAUUAAUUAAUUAACUUAAUUAAUUAUGUCUAAUUAAUCAAAUAACUAAACUAAUUAAACUGUUAGUUAAUUAAUUAAUCAGUCAAUGACAGUGGGGCCCACCCCUAAUUAAUCCUGAUUAGGUUAAUUAAUAUGUUUAAUUAAUAUGUGUCACUGACCAGUGGGACCCCCUGGUCAGGUUGACCAGUCAACCCCUGUUGACUGUUGACUUAAAUUUCGAAUUUCGAAUUAAAUAAUUAAUUAAAUUCCAGAAAUUAAUAUUUUUUUUGAAAAUCAUAUCUUUUAAUCCGUAACUCGGAUGGAAAAACUUUGUACAUGAAAGUUGCUCAGAACGACGAGACGAAUCCGAAUACAUAGCCCGUUCAUCCGCAACACAUCCCUAGCAUAGCAAACACGCAACUUUCCCCCUCCGGUUCAUCUGUCCGAAAACGCGAAACACCGGGAAUACUUUCCGGGAUGUUUCCCCCCUUCGCCGGUAUCACUUACUACCGCGUUAGGGCAUACCUAGCACCGCAUAUUGCAUCGUUAUGUUUUGUGAUGCUUUGUUUGCUCCGUAUUUACUGUUUCUUCCCCCCCUCUUCUUCUCCGGUAGACCCCGAGACCGGCGCUGAUGCCACCGAGUACGACUACGUCACCGACGACCCUUCUCCCUGUACAACAGAGCUUCCAGGCAAGCCCCCCCUUGAUAACCAGAUAUCACCUAUUCUUCUCUAUACAGCUUGCAUUAGAGUAGUGUAGCAUGUUACUGCUUUCGGUUAAUCCUAUUCUGCUGCAUAGCCUGUCAUUGUUGCUACAGUUGUUACCCUUACCUGCUAUCCUACUGCUUAGUAUAGGAUGCUAGUGUUCCAUCAGUGGCCCUACACUCUUGUCCGUCUGCCAUGCUAUACUACUGGGCCAUGAUCACUUCGGGAGGUGAUCACGGGUAUAUACUAUAUACUUUAUAUACAUGACACAUGUGGUGACUAAAGUCGGGUCGGCUCGUUGAGUACCCGCAAGUGAUUCUGAUGAGGGGGCUGAAAGGAUAGGUGGCUCCAUCCCGGUAGAGGUGGGCCUGGGUUCCAGAUGGCCCCCGACUGUUACUUUGUGGCGGAGCGACAAGGCAGGUUGAGACCACCUAGGAGAGAGGUGGGCCUGGCCCUGGUCGGCGUUCGCGGAUACUUAACACGCUUAACGAGAUCUUGGUAUUUGAUCUGAGUCUGGCCAUUUGGUCUAUACGCACUAACCAACUACGCUGGAACAGUUAUGGGCACUCGGCGUCGUGGUAUCAGCCGAAGCUCUUUUUGACGUCAGCGACUGAGUGGCGCGCGCCGCCUUGGACCGUAAGCUCGCGCUUGUAUUAAGGGGGCUAGGUCUGCUUCCGGCCGCGUACGCAACGUGUAGGUGUGCAAUGGGCGAUGGGCCCAGACCCCUGCGCGCAUAGGAUUUAGACCGGCGUGCUGACCUCUCUGUUGAGCCUAGGUGGGGCUGCGACGUGUUGAUCUUCCGAGACCGGGCAUGACCCAGGAAAGUGUGUCCGGCCAAAUGGGAUCGAGCGUGUUGGGUUAUGUGGUGCACCCCUGCAGGGAAGUUUAUCUAUUCGAAUAGCCGUGUCCCUCGGUAAAAGGACGACCCGGAGUUGUACCUUGACCUUAUGACAACUAGAACCGGAUACUUAAUAAAACACACCCUUCCAAGUGCCAGAUACAACCCGGUGAUCGCUCUCUAACAGGGCGACGAGGAGGGGAUCACCGGGUAGGAUUAUGCUAUGCGAUGCUACUUGGUGAACUUACCAUCUACUCUCUUCCACAUGCUGCAAGAUGAAGGUGGCCAGAAGCGUAGUCUUCGACAGGAUUAGCUAUCCCCCUCUUAUUCUGGCAUUCUGCAGUUCAGUCCACCGAUAUGGCCCUUUACACAUAUACCCAUGCAUAUGUAGUGUAGCUCCUUGCUUGCGAGUACUUUGGAUGAGUACUCACGGUUGCUUUUCUCCCUCUUUUCCCCCUUUCCCUUCUACCUGGUUGUCGCAAUCAGAUGCUGGAGCCCAGGAGCCAGACGCCACCGUCGACGACGACUCCUACUAUACUGGUGGUGCCUACUACUACGUGCAGGCCGCUGACGACGACCAGGAGUAGUUUAGGAGGAUCCCAGGCAGGAGGCCUGCGCCUCUUUCGAUCUGUAACCCAGUUUGUGCUAGUCUUCUUAAGACAUACUUGUUUAACUAAUGUCUGUACUCAGAUAUUGUUGCUUCCGCUGACUCGUCUAUGAUCGAGCACUUGUAUUCGAGCCCUCGAGGCCUCUGGCUUGUAUUAUGAUGCUUGUAUGACUUAUUUAUGUUUUAGAGUUGUGUUGUGAUAUCUUCCCGUGAGUCCCUGAUCUUGAUCGUACACGUUGGCGUGCAUGAUUAGUGUACGGUCAAAUCGGGGGCGUCACAGUACUUCAUCUUAUCUAUACACCAUGAUGUAAGCUUGAAGCCACGACCUUGGUUAAAAUAUGCUCACAUGUUCCACAAAGAGGGUUUUAUAUGGAAUAUAUAGUCCUGAAAAAACAUUGACUCUUAUAGCUCUGUUUCCAACUCAAGGCAGAGUGGCCUAUCAGAGGCGAAGAAGGAAUGGAAGAUGAAGGGCAGAAGAUAUCUAGUUUGGUACUUGAACUUUUGGUCCUCUCGAUUGUUUCUUUGUAUUUUUUUAAUUUUGUCCUCAUCAACCUACGUGCAUAUGUAAACAAAUUAAUAGUUCCAAGGCCUCUCUGUUCCACUACUACAUAGCCCCCACAUCUCGGUGGUUAAGAUGCAGCUAGAACUAGAAAAGCCUACCAAAUGCAUAACAUAUGCUUACAACACAUUUUUGCUACAUUUUUAAUGCUUUAAUCACUACAAUUAAAAUGUAGUAAUAGGAAAAUGGGAAGAAUAAACACACUACCAAACAACAACAUAUGAUUGAUAAAUGACAAUUACAUUAACUUGGAGUAGUGACAUACUAGGUAUUACAUAUUUUGUCCCCUUUAUUGAAAUCAUAGGAUUUUCAAACCACAACCACAUCAUGUUCCACCAACAUUCAUCUCGAAUGUGCACAAAUUAUUGUAUAGUUUCUAUCAACCAAAUGUCUUCAUAAGCCCGAUGACCUUCUUCACAGUAGGACGAUCCAUUACGCCAGCAAUCCAUGCUUUCACAUGUGGAUAUGCAUCGAGCACCGAUGCAUAUGGAGUUUCAUGCAAUAGGUGAACCAUUGGGAAAUGGCUAAUGUCCGCUAAGCUGAUGAAAUCUCCUGCCAAGUACUUGGACUUGGACAAGCGUUCCUCAUAGACUUCCAUGAUUUCCUUCAGUUUUUCUAGGUUUUCUUCAAGAACUUUAAGAUCGCUAGUCCCACCCAUGUAAACCGGGAUGACAAGCCCUUGAAAGAUGAUUGGCAGCAUGACGCUGUCAAAUUUCUGGGAUUCGACGUCAAGCCACACAUCAACCAUUGCAGACUCAGAGAGGUUGUUUUCCCUCAGUAAAUCUGAUGAUUCUUUUCGGAGUAUAUACUUUGAGAUUGCCCGUGAUUCUGUCAAAAAUCAGCUAGUUAUACAUGCAAACAAUUCAACUAGUUAUAGAGAUCUGAUUUUCUAAAAACAUUAUAUGGAUUCAUGUUCUUAUUUAUUUAUUUAUUUGCACCAAGGGCCAAAAUAAUAAUAAUUACCACAUAUCCAAUCCUUUGCAAUGCAAGGCGUUUUUUGCUUAUCUCUUUUUCCAAAUCAUAACACAUUUGGAAUAAUUCAGUGGUGCGAGAUGGGGCCUUGCCCUUUUCACUCAUGAUGCACUAGUUAUUUGAAGUAUUAUUCUUAUCUUUUAUAUAAAAAGGAAUAACAAUAUCCAAGCAAUAUAACUAGGAAAAAUUCCUGAACUAUAUACUAGCCUAGUGACUUAGAGGAUGUGCUUAACUAGUUGAAAAAGGAGACAUGACUUUGGCAUUUUACAACCUACCAUUAUCUGAUAAAAUAACUACCUCGAUUGAGACAUCUACCAUGGCGCUAUCAAUAGUAAAUGAUAGUGUCCAUCAUUACAAUAUCACACAAAUUAAGCAAGGAAGCUACUCACCGAAAAGGAUCAGGUCUCCAUCCUGGAACGCAGGGACCUGGCCGAAGGGCUGUGGACAGCAGAGACAAGAAAAAAAAAGAUCCCUAUCAGCUUUCGCAAAGUGUUGAUUCAUGUAACUUGAUGCAUCUAAUUAGCCUUACAACAACACAACUAUAUAGUCAAAGAGGCAAGAAGAUAGAUACAUAGUAUGUAUGUAAUCAAAGAGGGACAUGGCGGCAACAUACAUUACGAGCAAGAUGCGGCAGUCUCUUGUGCUCACCGGUGUGUAGGUCGACAGCCACGACCUCAUACUCGGCUCCCACUUCCUCUAGGCAUACCAGAACGCGUGCCACACUUCCGUUCAUGGGCAACCCGUACACCUUCACCGGAGCCAUUAUUUUCUUACUUACUAGUAUCAGUUGUGGUGUUGUGGAGCCAAGACGAAGGACAAGGAGAUCCUUGGGAAUGAUGGAUUUUGUGGUGUAAAGGUGUGCUUUUUAUAGAUAACUAGUGGUCAACCCAUUGCAUGCAGUUUGAAGCAUACCAUCUGGUUUUGACAUUACCUAGCAACAAAGUAAUGCACAGGUAGCACCGGUCACUUACUUGGCAACCAAGCACAAUUAAUUAAUACCAUCAAGGCUAUCUGAUAUGAGCUUAUUGGGGCUAAGAGCAGUUGACAACUUAAUUGAACAAUACAAUUAAUAAUUGCCACCUAGCUAGUUCUUGCCAUGUCGAGUAGACAACGAAUCUGACAUAUAGAUUAUAAUACACAUACAGUUUAUAAUACGCAUGUUGAUAAAUACGACUUACUUGUAUGUCGAGACAGAGAUGCAGUGUCCAACAGGAACGGAAGGCCGAUACCGAAAAUGUAACUAUAUUUUGCGGAGACUGAAAAUGUACCUUAUUCAUGAAGAAAUGAAAAGUGACACCGCCAAGCUACCGAACCGUUAAUUAGUUGAUACUCCACAUGUGUUUAAUUCUCCACCCAAUCUUGGGUCAUGGAAUGUUACCCAAUAGGAAUUUCUUUCAACCUUCCCCGCCAAAAAAAAACUCGGAUUUCGAGUUCUGUCAGUAUGUUAAACAUUUCCAAUGAAAUCAAAUGAGGAGGAUAUUUAUGUGGAUGGUCAAGCCAAAUAUCCAAACCAUGGCCUUUUUAGUUUCUUAUAAAGAAAACUGCUAGAAAUACUAUUUGGAGUGUGUUUCUAGGAAAUGGACAAAACAUGCAAAACCAAAACACCAAAGGAAAUGGACAAAACAUGCAAAACCAAUGUUUUUCUGGUCCUAAAAUAUUUGAAGGAAAUAUAAAUAUUAUGAAAAUUGAAAAUAAUAAUUGAGAAAUGUUCAUCGCGUAUUUGAAAUAUAUCCGCCGUGUGAUUGAAAUAUGUCAUUGUGUAUUAUAGAAAUGUUCAUCGUGUGUUCUCAAAAUUUUCGCGUAUACGACAUAGAACAUAUUUAUGCAAAUGAAAAAAAAGGAAAAAAAAAUGAAAAAAGCAAAACAAAAACCGAAUGAAACCCAAAACCCACAAAAACGAGGAACAAAAUACUGCAGCAAAAAACACAACGGGCCUGGUCCAUCUAUGCACUCACUUGUAUCCAAAAUGCCGGCUUUCUAGUAACUUUUUUCAGGCGCUUGGAAGCUACAAAUGCUGUAUAUAGCAUGCAGCAGCAUUCUAGCCUAUAGCGAGCGCUGAGGUGGGCUGGGCAAUUUACACGGUUUUUGCAGUGCUUCUAUUUGAUUUUUAUGGUUCGAGGAAGGUUUUGCUUUUCUUUUCUGUUUCUUUUUUAUUUCAGUUAUCUCUCUGUCAUUAUUAUUCUUAUUUUUAUUUUCAAUCAACUUUAUUUUUUUACUUUUCAUAUUCAUGAAUUUUGUUAGUACUCCCAGUUUUGGUGUAUGAAUAUUUUUUAAAUACACUUGAAAUAUUUUUCAAGAACAAUUAACAUCUUUAGAGUAUACUAUAAAUAAAUUUUAAAUACAUAUUAAACAUUUUUCCGAUACACAUAAAAAAUAAUUCUGAACACAUGUUAAAGAUAUUUCUAUACACGUUAAACAAUUGAUAGAUACGCGUUGAACAUUUGUUGGAUGCACGCUGAUUUUUCAAUACAUGUUGAAUAAUUUUUAAAUACAUAAUAAGCAUAUUAUAAAUGCACAGUGAACAUUUGUAAUACAUGGUGAACAAAAUUCUAUGUCACAAACAUUUUUACAAAAUUGCUGGAACAGAACACUUAUUAUUAAUUAGGUGAAUGUAUUUUUAAACUGGUGAAUAUUGUUUUUGAAAUUGCACAAACAUUUUUUUUAUAUGUGAUGCAUAUUCGAAAUAAUUAAAAAUCUAACUUAGUUAAUUUUCAAAUAUAUGUUCUUUGAAUACUUAAAAUAUAAAACAAAUUUUGAAAGUGGAAAAUAUAAAAAUAACAUGGGUAUGUGCACUAGCUCACGAUAGUGCGAAUCUUGCUUCUAUCGCGGAGGUGUUCGUUGAAAUUACUUUGAGCGAUAUAUAGACGCAUCUCUAGCAGGUUGCGAGUAUGUCUCACUUAUAGCGAGACGUAGCACAGCCUUCGCAUCAAAGCAGCAGCCAUAAUGCGGCAGCGAUUUUUUCCACGUUAUUAAUUUAUUUUUAAAAAACUCGUAUAUUACGAAAUAUUCUAAAUAUAUAUAUUAUAAAAAUACUUGACAUACAUAAUUGGAAAAUAUUAACAACAUUUGAAAAAUGAUAAAUAUUUAUAGAAAAAUGUACAAUGUCUAUGAGAAAAUGUAGCAACCAAUACAUAUAUAUGAAAAAGUGUUAAUAAUGUAUUUGAAAAAUGCUAAAUGUCUCUAAAACUGUUCCUAAUGUAUAAAAAUAUAGAAUGUGUGUGAAAAGAGGUAGACAUAAAAAUGCUUUAAAAAGCGUUAAUCAUGUAUUUAAAAACGUAAGCAUAUGUAUAAGUCAUAUACUAAAAUUGUAAAAUGUGGAUGGAAAAAAGUUGUAAACAGUAGUAUAUGUUUGAAGAAAACGUUAAUGAUUUAUUUAAAAAAGGUAAAAAAAUGUGUAUUCAAAUGUUACUAAUGUAUACAGAAAAUAUAGAAUGUUUGUGGAAAAAAGUUACACGAAAAUAUAAAUUUCCCAAAAACUGCUGAUUAUGUAUUUGAAUAUUUUUCAACAUGUACAGAAAAAUCAUGCUUCAUGGAUUUGAAUAAAUUUUGAACAUGUAUAAAAUAUGUUCCUGUUUUAUACGAAAACAUAAAGAAAAUCAUAGAUGUAAUAAAAGUUAAUCAGAAAGAAACAAACAAGGGAAAAUUAGAAACAAAUGAAAGAAAAAAAGAAAAUAGAAGAAAAUUAGUGCAACAAAAUGAAAGCAGUGUAAUCAAGAAAGAAAUAUAUAAAAACAAAGAAACACUGAUGAGUACUAAGAAAGAAAAAAGGAAGAAAAUAUGCGAAUACUAGUGAAAAUAAGAAAAAAACAAUGAAAAUUGGUAAGAUUGAUAAAUAAACAAAAAAAAGGAAACAAGAAUUAAUAAUAAAAUGUUGACAUCAUGCAUUCAGCCCAUAACUUAUUUAGCGCUACCAGGAAUCGAGUUCACACCGUCUAGCAGAUAUGCAGGUCAUAUAACCACUAGAGCUCCUAGCCACAGUUGAAAUGAUACAACGUGAGCAGUUUAAGAACAAAAUGUCGCGUGCUAUUUACUGCACAUACAUAUUAGGAAAACGUGAUUUUUUUUUGGAAGAAAAUGUUAACAAAAUUUGGAAGUUCACAGAUUUAAAAAAAAAAUCAUGAAUCAUAAAAAGUUCAUUAAUGAUGAAAAAAUUGCAUUCAUUUUCAAAAACUUUCACGAAUUACAAAAAUACAUCCAUUUUGAAAAAGUUUGAUAGAUUCUCAAAAAAGUUCAGAAAUACGAAAAAACGUCAUUUAUUUUGAAAAGAGUUCAUUUACUUUGAAAUAACGUUCUCAAAUUCAGAAAAAAAUUCAUCAACUUUUUAAAAUGUUCAUUGAUUCUGAAAAAAGUUCAAAAUUUUGUAAAAAAAAUCACUAAAUUGGAAAGUAAUAUCAACGACUUGAAAAAAGUUCACGGAUUUAAGAGAAAAAAAAAGGAAAUCGAAAAAAGAAAAAAAAAAGAACAAAACAUGAGGGAUGAAAGGAAGAGAAAGAAAAAGUUAUCACAGGAGGCGUUGUGGGCAUCUUUAUCUGGGAGCUCCUAUGUGGCGCGUUAUGCAGCAUGCAGCAUACUAUCUGAAAUGGGCCGGCCCAGAGUGCACUGUAUCGCAGAAUCGAAAAUACCAUAAGCAAAAAUGCGAGCGCAUGGAAUCAAACUCGGGACGUCCAGUUGAAGCAUGCGCGACAUUAACUAACAGACCAGGAAAACUUUGUUGAGAUAUACGCAGCGCGGUUCUUUAAAAACUACCAAUACUUCAAAUUUCGAGUUGUUUUUGCAAGCACGAACACUUCGAAAUAAUAUAUAUGAAACGUUUCAAAACUGAAUGUUUUUCUGAAGACACAAACAUUUUUGAAAAAAAAUGGAUAUUUUUUGUAUUGUGCGAGCAUUUUGGAAAAUAGCAAACAUUGUUUUGAUUGCACGAAUAUUUUGCAGAAAAGACGAACAUUAUUUAGAAAGUGUGAACAUUUUUCACAAAGACGAAAAUUGUUUUGAACGUGCAAUUUUUUUUCAGAAAGACGAACAUUUUCCAAAUUGCAAACAUUAUAUUGAAAAACGUAAAUUUGUUUUGAAAUUUACGAACAUUUUUUGAAAAUGUGACAUUUUUCAACUUUACGAACGUUUUGAAUACGCAAACAUUUUUAAUAAUUUGGGAACAGUUUUUUAAAACACAAACAUUUUUCUAAAUUUUGUGAACAUUUUUUGGAAACACGAUAAUUUUUUUGAAAACCCUGAAAAUAUUUCAAAUUUGGGAACAAUUUUGCAUUCUGGACAUUUGAUAAAUUUGUGAAUUUUUCAAAAAAGAAACAGAAAAAGGAAAAUAAAAGAAGAAAGAAACAGAAAAGAUAAAAACGAAAAAAAGAAACAGAAAGGGAAAACCGAAACAGCAAAAACCUGAAAGAAAACCAGCCUAAAAAAGUAAUAGAUAGAAGGAAACCCGUUCGAGGAACAUUCUAGAAGGUUCCCAUAACCAGGAGAAAACUACCAGCGCUAAACGCUAAAUGGGCCCCGGCCCACCGAGCUCUUCGCGUUACUCUCCUCUGCGAACCUCUGCCAAUUUGACGCAGAAUGCGUCAAAUAGGUAAUACCCCUUUAUCUAGUACAGGGAGAUCGCAGGUUCGAAUCCCCGCGAACCCACCCUUCGCACUUGUUUUAGCAGAAAAAAAGAGAAACGGGCCGACCCAGCUCUUAGGAAAAGUGUGUGCCGCUCUGCCUUUAACAGAUUAAGGCUGCGUUCGGACUGCAGGAGAGCAAAGCAAUGGAAUGAAUAAAAGUAUAGGAAGUGAAAGUGGGUGAACAGUGCAAAUCAUAGGUUUCCAACCGGGCGUUUCGUUUGGUUUGAGUAGAUGUUAUCUUUCCCGUGGAAAGUACAGACCGAGGGCACUUUCCUAUGGAACAAACAAUGCUGAUUCCUGUGGAGCGAACGGGCUUACAGGAAAAUAUUCCCGUGGAAAUCAAACCUGCAUAAUUCCUGUGUACCGAACGCAGCCUAAGGGGUGCCAAAUAGGAAAUGUCGGAAUUUCCUAACGGCGACUGAGAUGGGCCAGCCUAAUUUCCCUGCUUCUCACAAAUUAUCCCUGCUUCUCACAAACGCGAGCGACCUGGCGACUGAGAUGGGCCAGCCUAAUUUCCUAACAUAGGCACGCGAUACAUUAGCUGGUUUUGGGAAUGUUCUAGAAGCUUCCUGACCGGUUUUGGGAACCUACUAGAAAGUUCCUGAACAGGAUUUCACUUUUUUUUAUUAAAAAAUUCGUUUUUUCCUUUUUUUGUUUCUUUUUAUUUAAUUUUUGUUUACUUAUUGUAUUUCUGUUCUAAUUCGAUUUUCUUCUGCAUUUUUUGUUUCUAUUUUUCUUUUCGAUUUCAAAUUUGUUUGAAAAAAAAAUCCAUGUUAUUUUUUUCACAAAUUCAAAAUAAAAUUGAUUUUAAAGAAAUGUUCGCAUAGUUCAAAAUUUGUUCUCCUUCCAAAAAACUUUCUUCUUUUAAAAUUUUGUUCACAAAUUCAAAAGUGCUCACAAAUUUCAAAUAAUACUAUUUCCUUUUUUGUUCAUUGUUUCAAAAUUUGUUCACAUAUGGAAAAGAAUGUCCCCUGUUCAUAAAAUGUCCAUGUUUUCAAAAAUUGAUCUGCUUUUUCAAAAUUUGUUCACCAAUUCAAAAAAGUUACCAUUUUCUAAACUUUGUUCACAGAUUGAAAAAUUGUUCACAUCUUUAAAAGUUGUUCAUGAUUCUAAAAAUAUGUUCCCUUUUUUAAAAAAGUCAACAAAACCAAAAUGUACCUGUUCUCAAAAUUUGUUCACAAAUUAAAAAAAAUAAUUUUUAUUAAAAUGAUUGAAAUAUUGAAAAAAUGUUCACAUUUUGUGAAAACAUUUCGUUAUUGUAAAAAAAAUUCGGAUUAAAAAAUAUUCUUUUUUUUCCAAUAUUUGUUCAGAAAUUGAAAAAUGUUCAUGUUUUUGAAAAAAUAAAUAAUCAGAAACUUGUUCACAUUUUCGAAAAACUUUUUUGUUUGAAUAAAAAAUUGAUCAUAAUUAAAAAAAGGUGUUCCUAUUUUUUGAAUAUUCGUCCACAACUUCAAAAUUGUUCAUGUUUUUCAAAUUUGGUUGCAAAUUCGAAAAAUUGCUUUAUUUUUUUUAAAACUCGUUUGUGUUCUGUCAUAAUCGUUCGUACUUGUCAAAAAUAGAAUCAGAACUUACAAGAAAAGAUCAGUAAAAAGGAAAAUAAUCCGAUCUGCCGGUGUGACUAGGUCUAAAGUGUUCGCAUUGCCUUUUCACCAACAAUGUGAAUCAGGUGCAGUGGUUAGCAACGCCUGUCUACAGGAUCACGGUCGCGUUGCUUAUUCAUUCCUUUUUUACACCGCUCGCUGCCUUCGUUGGCUGGCUCAGUUGAGGGACUAACCUAUGCGAUAGCUCGACAUUCACUUUGGUGCCCGCUCGCUGCCGCAGAUAGGAAGUCCCGAAAAUGCCCGCGCGCACCCCUCCCUCACUCGCAUCUAUCCUAACAGUCCGACCCAUAUUAGCCCCUCCUUUGGUCUUCAUUUUUUCGUUUCCUUUGCCAAUUUUCUUUUCGUUUUUCAUUUUUUGCAUUUUCGUUUUUAGAUGUUAGAAAUUCAUAUUUUCAAGUUGGUGAACUUUUUUUCAAUUCGGGAUUUUUUUUUCAAAUUUGUGAACUUUUUUAUUAAAUGUGUGAAUAAAUAUAACUUCAUGAACUUUUUUUAAUUUCAUUAACUUUUUUUAAACUAAUGAACAUUUUUCAAAUUUGUGAUUUUGUUUUUCAAAUUUGUUAUUUUUAAAACUCACGAUCCUUUUGGAAUGUGUGAAAAUUUUAAAUUCAUGAACUUUUUCACAUUUUAGAAUGUUUUUCUUAUUCUCAAUCUUUUUUUCAAAACAAUGAACUUUUUUUUAUCAUGAACUUUUGAAUCUUUGUACUGUUUUUGAAGUGCAUGUAUAUAUUUCAGUCUGUGGAAUUUGUUUUUAAAAUCCACAAAAAAAAUUCAAAUUCAUAAUUUUUUUAAUAAUGAUAACCAUGAAACUUGUCAUUAUGGUCUUAAUUUUCAAUCCUAUGAUAGUUAUUUUGUUGAGUUUGCUCCCACUACUAUUGAUGAGAAGAAAUUUGAUUAUGUGGAGAGUAAUACAUUUUCUAUGCUUUUGUGUCAUGAAAAGAAUGCUUUAUGUGAUGGUUAUAUUGUUAUAUUUCUUCAUGAUGCUACUGGAAAUUAUUAUGAGGGAGGAACUUAUGCUUGUAAGAAUUGCAAUAAUAUCAAGUUUCCUCUCUAUGUGUUGAAAAUCUUGAAGUUAUGCUUGUUUUGCCUUCCUAUGCAAGUUGAUUCUUGUUCCCAUGAGGUGUUUGCUCACAAAAUCCCUAUGCAUAGGAAGUGGGUUAGACUUAAAUGUGCUAGUCAUAUGCUUCAAAAUGCUCUUUUUAUGUUUCAAUUCUUAUCUUUUAUGCGAGCAUCAUUGAAAUCACAUGCCUGGCUAAAAGACAUUAACGAAAAACGCUUGUUGGGAGACAACCCAACAUUUACGCCUACUGUUUUUAUGUGUUCACAUGAUUAGGCUACUGUAGUAAUCAUGUUUUAUAGCUUUCGUUUCAAUAAAGUGCCAAGUAAGACCUUUGGGAUGGUCUAUAGAGAUAGUUGAUUUGAUCUUGCUGAAAAACAGAAAGUUUUGCGCCCAGUAAAAUAAUUUUUGUUUUUUACAGAAGCGUGAUAAAAUCCUGAUUAUUUUAAAAAAAGAUUGAUAUACAAAUUUCCCAGGUUGUUCUAAAUUUUCAGAGUUUUUGGAGUAGCAGAAGUAUGGUUGUUGUUCAAAUCAUUACAGACUAUUCUGUUUUUGACAGAUUCUGUUUUCAAUGGAUAGUUUGCUUACUUUCUAGUUUUUGUGGCUUAUAUUGCUCAAUAUAAAUUAUAGAAAUGAUAGGGUAUAGUUGGCAUUGUGUGAGAACAAUUAUGAAUCUUGUCUUUGGCAGUACCAAAAGUGAGUGGUUUGCUCUUUAUCAUACUAACCUAUCUCACGAAAUUCCGUUAAGUUUUGUGUGAUUGAAGUUUUCAAGUUUUGGGUGAGAUAUCGAUAUGAGGAGAAUAAGGAGUGACAAGAUCCUAAGCUUGGGGAUGCCCAAGGCACCCCAAGGUAAUAUUCAAGGAAGAUCCAAGCAACUAAGCUUGGGGAUGCCUCACUUGGAGCUAUGUUUUCAUUCGUCACAUGAUAUGAGUUUUACUUGGAGCGUCAUUUUCUUUUGUUAGGAUUUGCUUGCUUUUAUUUAGAAUAAUGUUUUGCAUCUUUCUUUUCAAUAAAAAUGUCAAGGAUAACCUUCACCAUGCUUAUUUUGCAAGUAUACAUGUUGCUGUUUCAAAACAGAAAGUUUAUCGCUGUUGCAAAAAUUCCCUAGAAAAGUCAAAAUGUGAUAAAAUGCUGAUUUUUUUGCAAAAUAAGCUCUGAUAAAUGUUCUACAGUGAGGUAAAUUUUCAUAAUUUUUGGAUUUAAAGAAGUAUUGAUACUCUUGCAUUCUUUACAGACUAUACAGUUUUGGCAGAUUGCUGUUAUGUUUUCAUUGUUUGCAUAUGUUUGCUUGUUUAAUGAUUCUAUUUGAGGAUAGGAGUAUUAAAUAUGCGGAGGAAUUUAGUAUGCAAUGUUGAAUAAUAAUUUUAGUGAUUUUCUACAGUAGAGAAUGAUGAGGUUUUUGCAUUGGUUUAUACUAACUUAUCUCAUGAGUUCUUGUUGAGUUUUAUGUGGAUGAAGUUUUUAAAAUUUAGGGAAACCGUGAUAGAAAAGGAAUUAAGGAGACACAAAAGCUCAAGCUGGGGAUGCCCAAGGCAUCCCAAGAUAAUAUUUCAAGAAGUCUCAAGCAUCUAAGCUUGGGGAUGCCCCGGUAGGCAUCCCACCUUUCUUCAUCAACAAUUAUCGAUUAGUAUCGGUUGAUCCUAAGUUUUUGCUUCUUCACAUGAUGUGUGCUAUUCUUGGAAUGUCAUUUUGUCUUGUUUUGCUUGCUGUUUUAAUAAAAUACUUAGAUAUGAAAGUUUUUAAAUAAGAGAGUCCUCAAAUAGCUACCUAUUUACUUAACUACUCGUUUGAUCUUCACUUAUAUCUUUUUGGAGUAGCUUGUCAUUUACUCUUGUGCUUCACUUAUAUCCUAUGAGUAAAUUGUUGAAUAAAUUGAAUAUAAUGAAGCUGAAAUUAUAUGUUCAUAUCAUGCCUAGUGGUAGCUUCACAUUGGGUUUAGAAAGUGAAAUCUUUUGAAGCUUGACAAUCACAAUAUUGGUCAUACAAUCAAUUCAUGAAUGAUUAGUAGAAGGAAGCGAACUUUCACAUGCAAAUACACUAUCUUGGAAAUUGAUUGUGAGCCCCCAUCAAAAUAUUAUAUGCCAAAAUUGUUGAUGUUGGACAAGGAAGACAACGUAAUGAUUUAUGUUUGUUCAUAUUCACAUAGAAGUUACAUUGUCAUAGAUCCUUCAACAUGUGGUGCUUGCCCCCCAUCUUUGCUAGCCAAAAAUUCCGCACCAAGUAGAAAUACUACUUGUGCAUCCAAAAACCCUUAAACCCAAAUCUUAUUUUCAAGAGUCCACCAUACCUACCUAAGGAUUGAGUAAGAUCCUUCAAGUAAGUUGUCAUCGGUGCAAUAUGGCAAAAUUGCUUCUAAAAGUGUUAGAUCAUUUAGUGUAAGAGAAAAUUGAGCGUUGUACGAACUUGUGAUGGCAAAGAAUAAAAGAGACAAGCUGUAUAAUAAAGCUUGCUAUCAUAAGGGGCAAUAUAACGUGAUGUUAUUUUGCACUAAGGGAUUGAGCAUACAAACAAAAAGCGCAUGAAAACCUCUGCUUCCCUCUGCGAAGGGCCUACUUUUUACUUUUAUGUAUUUACUUUCAUGCAAGGGUCAAGGUUUUUCUCUCUAUUCCUUUUUAUUUUUCUAUUUUGGCAAGCAUCAUGUGGUGAGGAAAGAUCUAGGCACAUAUAUCCAGUUGGAUAUGGGUAGCAUGAGUUAUUAUUGUUGACAUCACCCUUGAGGUGAAUACAUUGUGAGGCAAAAUUAUAAGCCUCUAUCUUUCUGUGUGUCCGAUUGAAACAUUUUGCUCAUCUGUAUGCGGUGAAUGUUAGCAAUCAUAGAAGACUAUAUGAUGGUUGAGUAUGUGGAGCUCUUACUUAGACUCUGUUGAAUAAGUUGAAUUGCAAUUAUUUGGUGACUAAGAAUAUAGGUUGUUGAGUUUCAAGAUAAUUCAUUUUUUGAACCUUAAAAUGUGAUUGAUUGCUACUUUGUCAUGAUGAGUUUUAUGGGAAAGAGUUGCUGUUAUGAUGCUAGGGAAAGUGAUUGAAUUAUCAUUGAUUAAACUUGUGCACUUUGCUAGCAUUCACACUUCAUAAAUUAUUUCUUUUAUCAUUUACCUACUCGAGGACGAGUAGGAAUUAAGCUUGGGGAUGCUGAUACGUCUCCAACGUAUCUAUAAUUUAUGAAGUAUUCAUGUUGUUAUAUUAUCAUUCUUGGAUGUUUUACAAUCAUUUUAUAGCAAAUUUAUAUCUUUUUUGGGACUAACCUAUUGACCCAGUGCCCAGUGCCAUUUGCUGUUUUUUGCUUGUUUUUUACAUCGCAAGAAAUCAAUAUCAAACGGAGUCCAAACACCGCGAAACUUUUUGUGGAUUUUUUAUGGACCAGAAGACAUCCAAUGGGCUAGAGCAGCACCUGGGGGUGCCCCGAGGGAGGAACAACCCACCAGGGCGCGCCUGGGCCCCAGACGCGCCCCGGUGGGUUGUGCCCACCUCGGUGGCCUCCCGCACCGCCUCUUCGCCCUAUAAAUUGCCAAAUGUUCCAAAAAACCUCGCGGGUAACCCAAGAUGAGAAGUUCCGCCGCCGCAAGCCUCUGUAGCCACCGAAAACCAAUCUAGACCCCAUUACGGCACUCUGCCAGAGGGGGAAAUCAUCACCGGUGGCCAUCUUCAUCAUCCCGGCGGCCACCACGAUGAGGAGGGAGUAGUCCACCCUCGGGGCUGAGGGUUUGUACCGGUAGCUAUGUGUUUAAUCUCUCUCUCUCUCUCUCUCUCUCUCUCUCUCUCUCUCGUGUUCUUGGGAUGUCACGAUCUUGAUGUAUCUUUGUUAAUAUAGUCGGAUCAUAUGGUGUUUCCCCCUCUCUAUCUUGUGAUGAAUUGAGUUUUCCUUUUGAGAUUUCGUUUUAUCGAAUUGAAUACUUUUAUGGAUUUGAGAACAAUUGAUGUAUGCCUUGUUAUGAAUACCCAUGGUGACAAUGGGGCAUCGUAUUGAUCCACUUGAUAUGUGUUUUGGCACUCAACUUGCGGAUUCCCGAGGUGACAUUGGGGUAAUGUAUGCAUAGGGGUUGAUGCACGUUCUCAUCUUUUGUUUCUCCGGUAGAAAUCUUGGGGCACUCUUUGAGGUUCUUUGUGUUGGAUUGAGUAUUAUGAAUUUGAAUUUGAUUUGGUGUUAUUUUAGUACGAACUCUUGAUAGAUCGAUCGGAAAAAAUAACUUAGUGUUAUUUUAGUACGAACUCUUGAUAGAUCGAUCGGAAAGCAUAAUUUGGUGUUAUUUUAGUACGAACUCUUGGAUAGAUCGAUCAGAAAGAAUAGCUACAAACAAUUUCUUCUUAUGUUCUCCGCUAGAUAAGAACUUUGGAGUGAUUCUUUAUCGCACGUUGAGGGAUGGUUAUAUGAUUCAAUUAUAUUAGCAUUGUUGAGAAAUUGCACUAGUGAAAGUACGGACCCUAGGCCUCAUUUUCAAGCAUUACAAUACCGUUUGUGCUCACUUUUGUUACUUGCUACCUUGCUGUCUUUUUAUUGUUACUAUUACAAAAAUCACUAUCUACUAUCAUUACUACACUUUUAUUACCAUCUCUUCGCCGAACUAGUGCAUCUAUACAAAUUACCAUUGUAUUUGGUGUGUUGUGGACACAAGAGACUCUUUUUUAUUUGGUUGCAGGGUUGUUUGAGAGAGACUAUAUUCAUCCUACGCCUCCCAUGGAUUGAUAAACCUUAGGUCAUCCACUUGAGGGAAAAUUGCUACUGUCCUACAAAACUCUGCGCUUGGAGGCCCAACACGUAUCUACAAGAAUAAAGUUGCGUAGUAAACAUCAGUGUGUGGUAUGAAGGCUGAACCCUUUGCAUGGGUGAGCCCUGGGGGUUUUAUAGGCUAGCCCCCAGGGGUACAAUGGUAAUACGACUGGGUGUAGGACCCGGACUUUAGUGUCUAAGGUCGCCGGGUUCUCCGCCGGCUGCUGGGGCCCGCCGUUGGAGGGCCCCGCCGGCCGCCGAGAAUCCGGCCGACAGGUAGGGCCCGCCGCCUGCGGGCCAUGUUGAUUGCCUUUCACUAUAUCUCUGUCCUUGCUGAUGAGGGCCACGUCAUGGACCGUGUGGCUACAGUCAUGCGCCGUGCGGGUUGGUGGCCGCCUGGUCAACGCACACUGUAGCCACGACUCUCCGGGAUUCGAGGGGAGCAGGUGGCGCAGUAGCUAUGCUCCGUCUUGUCGUAGUAGGUGAGUGCAAACUCCGAGGGGAAGGACGGGCCGGCUGCUGGGAGCCGGCCCGCUCCACAAGCUGCCUUCUGGAAGGGCGCCGUCUUCUGGGAGGCGGCCGCGUGGUCCGGUCCGCCUUUUAAGGGCACGCCGUCUUCUGGAAGCCGGCCGCAUGGUCUGUUGGCUUUGAGGGGCUGCACUAGGCCCAAUUUCUUGAAAUGUUAUAGGGUGCGGAUGAGGCUACCCGGGGUCCGUCCCCCCGACAAGUACCCUGUUUUCUACUAGUGCUAUCUAUCUAUCUAUCUAUCUAUCUAUCUAUCUAUACUAUCUCUAUCUAUCUAAAGGUUCCAUGUUUCACUUAUCUUUUCCUCUUGUUUUGGUCUAACCUUCCCAUAUGAUAAUUAAUCACCUUAAUUUACUUAUCUAAUAAAUUAAAUUUAGUUUACUUACCAAACUUCUCAUCAAAUAUAAGGUAAAUCAUGGGCAUAAUUGUCUUAAUAUGGGCAGGUAAAUCAUGAUCUAACGUAAUAGAUUACUUAUAUAUCAUGAUUUUAUUAAACAAUUGUAUUAACAUAGGUAGGUAAAUCACGAUCUAUUAACAGAUUAUUUAUAUCACGGGCAUUGCAAUAGUAAAUAACAAAAGGAGAAUAGCCGUCCCGAAUAAAUUGCAUUCUCUAGCCCCCGUCACCAGCAUUUAUUUCCCUUUCCAUUCUCAAAACUAAGAACGUGAAGAUGAAACAAAUACUACAAUUAGAUCAGGUUUAGUCCUAAACUUUGAACUUAUAAUAUAAAAUAAAAAGAAUUCUUAUAAAAGUAAAUAAGAAGAAUAUUUUUGCUCCGCUUAAUAGACAAGCUAAGUAGAUUUGUCACUGAAGACUUCCCGACAAGGUCAGGUCGGUUAGCGUCGGUGUCUCAUGCAUUCUAGCGGCAGCAACGAUCGUUCGAUUUGAUGGUCCAUGGACUUUGAUGUAAUUUUUAUUAUUUUAGAGGUGCUUUGUACAGAAUCCGGUGAAUCUAUAUCGUAAUAGAACUAAUCUUUUUGAAGAAAAAGACAAGCCAACUAACUGCAAACUGACUGAAUCCAACACAACGCAUCACAACACAGAGAAGCCACAUGCAUCAGUGGCAUGCAUCGUUAUUAGUAUACAUUAACCUCACAGACUAAUUGAAGCCGCAAACACGCCGGAGCCAGGACCAAUCUUCACCUAAACAACAUGCAUGGAUGCAUGCAUGAAGAUGAAGAGGCAAAACCGAUGGAGCUACUUUAUUUCUGGUCAUCCUAAGCUCAGCAGUCCCGCUCGCAGUAGCACUUGCGCUCGAGGUGGUGCUGGUGGCACUGCCCGCGGGGGAAGUUCUCGGUGCGGCACACGCUGGCGCAGUUGGUGUCGCUGAAGCAAGCGCCCUUGAAAUUGUGGCUCUGCGACUCGCACGUCCGGGCCUCCGCCACCUUCGUCGUCCCCAUCUCUGCAAUGCAACCACCACAAAAGUAAUCAAGCGCCGGUGAUUAAUUACAAUUUACAACUGCUCGAUCGCUGGGAGGGAGGAAGCUCGCCGGACAUACCCGUGGCGACGAGGAGGAGCAGGAUGAGGAGGGUGGCGGGCGCGGCGGCGGGCGCGGCGGCGAUGCGGCGAGGGGAUGCCAUCUCUCUUCUGUACUUGCUCUCUUGCUUCACCCGAGUCCCAAAUCAGAGCUCUCUGCUGCUGAUGAUGAGGGGAGCUACCAUCUCGUUAUAUAUAAGCGAGAUAUAGAUAUAGCUCCCGCGUCCCUUCGUAGCUUUUCAAGCCCUAGCAAGAAAGCCCUAAAAAAUUCCUUGACUAGAAGGGAAAACGUCCAUAGUCCAUAGUCUCUAUCUCUAUCUUUAUGUCUUUAUAUCUAUCUAUCUAUCUAUCUAUCUAUACUAUAUUUAUAUCUAUCUAUCUAUAUUAUAUUUAUAUCUAUAUCUAUCUAUCUAAAGUUUUCAUGUUUCACUUUUCCCCUUCGUCUAACCUUCCCCUAUGAUAAUCACUUUAAUUUGCCUAUCUUAAUUUAACUUUAGUUUACUUACAAAGCUUCUUAUCAAAAUAAGGUAAAUUAUGAAAAGGAUUUGAUAAACAUUUAUUACAUAAUUGUAUUAAUAUAUGUAGGUCAAUCACAAUUUAAUGUAAUAGAUUAUUUAUACUGCAAAAAUUUAUUUACACAAUUAUAUUAAUAGCCCCCUAAGGAAACAAUUGUAUUAUAGACAGAUAAAUCACGAUCUGACAUAAUAGAUUAUUUAUAUCCGUUGUAACCUACUGGCAUUAUUUAUACUUCCGGUUAUCGUUUAAUCGGACUUGUUGGAAGCACUAUGUUGUUUGUCGAACAGUGGACUGGAGUGUUCUGGGUAUGGUCCUUUGGUUCGGGAGAUCAAAGAGUUAAUGUGCAUUAGAGAGUUUUAUCCUCCGAAAAUUCUUCGUUGAUCAAAGAGUUAAUGUGCAUUAGAGUCUUAUCCUCAGAAAAUUCUUCGAGUUGCAGAUCGCCUAGCCAAUUAUAGCCGUACCGAGAGUACAACUGUUGUGUGGUUGGUCUUGGCUCCACCUUGUAUUGAGAAUUAGUGGCCUCUUGACUAUAAGACUAUUACAUACAAAUAAAAUUCCUGAAUUCUCCUAGUAAAUAACAAAAGGAGAAUAGACGGCCUGAAUAAAUUGCAUUCUCUAGCCCCUGACACUGGCAUUUCUCAAGAAACAUCUCGUUUUAUUUCCCUUUCCAUUUUCAAUACUAAGAACACGUGAAGACGAAACAAAUACUACAAUUAGAUAGGUUUAGUCCUAAACUUCCACCUUAUAAAAGAAAAUAAAAAAGAAUUUUGUUUGCUCCGCUUAAUAGACAAGCGAAGUAGAUUUGUCUAGGCAAUCAACGACGGCAACAUGGCGAUGAUAAUUAGGAACACUUGUAUGAAGACCUCCCAUUGACAAGGUCAGGCCGGCUAUGAAUAACUACAACUUCAUGAACUUUUUAAAAAUUUCAGUAACUUUGUUAAAACUCAUGAAUGUUUUUCAAAUUUGUGAUUUUGUUUUUAAAAUUCAUUAUUUUUAAAACUCAUGAACCUUUUUGAAUGCACAAUUUUUUUAAAUUCAUGAACUUUUUUCACAUUUUUGAAUGUUUUUCUUAUUCAUCAAUCUUUUUUUUCAAAACCCUUGAACUUCUUUUUAAAUCACGAACUUUCGAAUCUUUGCACAAUUUUUGAAAUGCAUUAUAUAUUUAAAUCCAUAAACAUUUUUCAAAAUCCAUAGAAUUUUUUUCAAAAUCCACAAAACAAUCCAAAUUCAUAACCUUUUUUAAAAUUCUGAACUUUUUCAUAUUCAUGAAUCGUUGGCAAAUCUACAAACUCUUUGCAAAUUUACAAUGUUUUUCAAAUUUGUGUGUUUAUACGGAUUCGAAGGAAUUGUUUUUACAAAAGUCAAAUGGUUGCCCGAUCAACCAUUCGCCAAAGGGACCUGCAUGGUUACGACCCGAACAAUUUGGUCAGGCCCAGCUUAGCAAGGCGUGAGCACCAUUAUCGCUUACCAACACUAAGGGCGCAAACGAGGAGGACUCGCGAUUCAUCGAGUAACACGCUACUGGGCUAGCCAUGCGUGUGGGUGAUGAGGGGCGCUACCAUCUCGCUAUAAGCGAGACAUAGAUAUAUCUCCCGUGUCCCUGGGAGGCUUCUCAAGCCCUAACUAGAAAGCCCAAAAGAAGGAAAAAAAGGCCCAGUCUCUAUCUCUAUCUCUAUGUACUUAUCUAUCUAUAUCCAUAUCCAUAUCUGUAUCUCUAUCUCUAUCUCUAUGAGUGCAGCAUUUCGAUGCCCAGACUCAUCUACAUCCGGUCAGAAAAAAUCACAAAAAAUUCAAACACUUCCAAUUUUUUUGCAUGGUAGAAAAUUUAGCGCGUGAGGUCCGCUCCAAUUUUCAAAUCAUUUAGACACCUGAACAACUCUUGGCAAAAAAGACAAAUUGGGUCAGAACAGUGCAUGAGCAGUAACUUUUUUACAAAUCCCGAAUUUAUCUUUUUUGCCGAGAGCUGCUCAGAUAUCCAAAUGAUUUAAAAAUUGGAGCGGACCUCACACAUCAAAUUAUCUAUCAUGUAAAUGUUUGGAAUUUUUUGAAUUUGUUUAGUAUUUGUUUCGUCAGCGCGAGUGCAGAUGAGCCUGGGCUUAGAAGCUGAUUUUCAUAUCUCUAUCUCUAUAUCUACUAGUAAGCGUGCACGUGCAACGCACGUCUAAAACUUAGUUCACAUAUUCUAAAUUUUAAAUAAUUCUUGCAAAAGAAUAUAAAUGAAAUGGAUACAAAAUAGAUGUCCUCUAAAUGUAUUUUUUUUAAGUGAAACACCGUUGUGAUCCAGCAACCUAGUGAAGAAUCAAGCGUCUGGCCAUGGUCACUAAACUUUUUGAACAAACUGAUUUUCGAGAUGAAUUUACACAUGAUUAACAUGCAAGGAAAAAAGUUAAAGUUAUGCAACACUUGCUCAAUUCUACCAAUGACUAUUCAAUACUUCCAUCAAUUUCUCCUCUGUACAAGUAUGGUAUUUUCUAAAGUGGACAUGGUAUUUUGAUUGGGAAGUAUAGAUUUUGCAAUAGAAAAUAAAAUUGACUGAUACGCAUGUAGUCUUCACUUCUAGUGUAGCCACCGAAAACAAAAUGCAAACUAGUACUUUACAAUGCAAUUGCUCUGAUAAGGAUGCCUACUUCUUGAAUCUUAUUUUCUUGUACAAAAGCCAAUUUUACACCUGCACAACAAUAUAUAAAAUUUGUCAGCACGUGCAAAAGAGAGGCUAAACGGAUUUUUAUGCCAUGAACUAACAUUUUGUACUAACUGGGAUCAACAUAGGAAAACCUGUUGACACCUAUACAUUGGUACUAUAGCAAAAAUUAAUAAAAAAAACUUGGCGCUAGGAAAAUAAAAAAAAUAAUACAAUGGAGAGCAAUGGCACCAUAGUGAGAGCGGGACAGACACCGCACACGAGGGCGGCCUCAUGGGAGUACGGCUGGGUGGCCGAAACAGACGGGCGGCCAAGAGGGAGACAUCGUGCCACCAGGCGCGGGGCAGCGGGGACUCUGCGUCGAGGCCGGUGGCAGAGGCACCAUGUCCUGCAUAUACGAUAUCGUGCAUUACAAAUAGCUAAAAAAGGGUUUAUCAUGGUAAACAUAUACGAUCUGAAAACUUGGUUGUCUUCUUUUGAUCCUUUUAGUAAGUCAUAGUCCUCAAAGAGGUCAUGAAAGAGAAUGACAUUACCUAAAGAUUUACAUUACAAAGGAAAAAUGUUAUCAGCCCACACUUUUUUAACGAAGGUAACAUGAACAUACAUGGGGCUAUAUGAUUAUCUUCAAUACUGAGUUGCCUUCAUAUUCCCGCAAAAAAAAAGAGUUGCCUCCAUAUUUCCAUGUCCAGUCUCCCUCCCUCCCUCUGUCUCGCUCUAACCUGAAAAUGCAUCAAGUGUAGGUAUAAAUAUGGAGUUUAGAGCAACUCUAGCAGACCCCGCAUCCCGCCCCGACCCGUAAAAUAACCGCCAAAAUGCGGGUCGGGGCGGAAAAACCAGCCCGAUCAGACCCCGCAUCCCGCCCCGGCCCGCAAAUUUUUUUAGGGGGGGUGGCAAAAUCCCGAGCCCAACCCGGGAAAACGCGGGUUUCCCCCUCGCGGCCGCGAUGCCCUGCAUAUAAGCGGAAGCGGUUGGUGGAGGGUCAUUUCAUCCCGCGCUUUCUCCCACCAACCACCUCUCCUCUCCCCCUCGCGCCGUCGCCGGCCGCCGCCCAAGAUUCCGGCGACCGCAGCCGGCAGGAGCACGCCGGAAGGCCGCCACGCGCACGAGAACUCCCCUCCCCCCCCCGCGUCGGCGGGCCGCCGGAUUUGCAGAUCUGCUACACUUCAUCGCGGGCCGCCGGAUUUGGCUUUUUCCGGCCGCCGGUUGCUGCCUCAAGCGGUGGAGUGGUCGGGGAGCCUCUCCCGCAGCCCAGGCAAGGGUGCAUCACCGCAUGCAGGUACGAGUUCGUCCGCCCGCCGUCGCCGAAGGUUUGCGGGCAUGGACUCGUCCGGUCGUCCACCGGGCUCGGCGCUCGCGCAUUGUCUUUGUGGCUUGCCGAGGCCGCUCAUAGAGUGCGACGACUACACGCGGAAAGUGCCGCGGCUCACUUCGAGCACGCCGAAGCACCCCGGAUGGGUGUUCUUCAAAUGCGAAAACAACGGGGUACGUGCACUUGCGGUAGCUCGUUUCAUAGUUCAUUCUUUAGUUCAAUUGCGGUGGCUCACUUCGAGCUUGCUCAUUCUUUUGUGUAGGACAAUGGAUGCUCAUUUUGGUUUUGGGAAGGGCAAUACAUUGAUUUGUUGAUAGAAAGAAAUUUAAUAGAUGUUAGUGCACUCCUUAGUACAAUCGAAGGCAAUGAUGCGGCUGCAUGUGCAACUAGAGGGGAAGCAACAUCUACUUCUUCCGAACCAAAGAUGAAGAAAGAAGAAUGCAAAAUCAAGAAUCCACAUAUUAACAACGAAUGCAUGGAGAAGAUAUUAGUCCAGCUAGUGGGAGCAGUUAUGGAAGUUGAAAAUCUUCUAAAAUGCAUACUUGUAGUUCUUGUUUUCUUUGGUCUUGCUAUUCUAGCAAAGAUUUGGUGAUGCCUUUUGUAUCCAAUGUUGUUAAUAAAGCAAAGCAAUGCAAUAUGCUAGAUCAAAUUAAGUUGCAAAUUUAAGUUUUGCGGGCCGGGAGGACCUGCGCCAGAUCAGACGCCGCAACCCCAACCCGUAAAAAAGCAUAUUCUGGGAAUAUCCUUUUUUACGGGUCUAUUAUGCGGGGUCUGCAACUGCGGCCACCCGCGCCAGCCCGCAAAGGCGUUUUUUCGCGAACUGCAAAAACGUUUUGCGGGUCGGAAGGAUGCGGGGUCUGCUAGAGUUGCUCUUACAAUAAACAGUGGCCCUCAACACAACAGCUGAUUUUUUUGAAAUGUACUGGAAUACACAAAGACAACGUCUGCCGCUGAUUAACUGAGUUCAACCAAGGAGACCUUCCUCCAUAGGUUCACUAGAUAGGGGGCGCGGCUUGCCGCACGUUGCCCGCCGAACGGCGGGCCAAAGGAUAGGACUUUGAGAUGUUAAUGGAGAUGACUUUAGCAUCAUAACGAUAAUUGUUUAGAGUUAAUAAAAUUUGGAGGUAAAAUGCAUGAGAUGUUAUCGGAAUUACUCUAUUUGGCAUACAUAGAGAGAUGAUACGAGUUUUCUGCUCUAUGAGCUAAAGUUCUGCAGUAGAGACACGAAUCAGAAUGUACCUCAGGAAUUGGGUAAUCAGGGUAUUGCGGAAAAGAAGGCAACAUUGUCAUCUAGAAACAUGUUUAUACCUGAUUAGCAAUGCACUUAACAUGAUUCAUAGGACAAGAUAGUGUUCACAAUCUCCUAAAUAGACAGGUGCACUCGUCAAAGUAAUUUGCUAAUCCCAGCAUAUGGAACACGAAUACAAAAUAAAACGAGCUGAACAACACAGGGGAGCAAAUAGAUGGAACACUUGUAAAUCAGAUUCUGAAGUACAGUCCUGGUACUGAUUAAGUUUAAAGGAGAGUGUAUCAAUCGCCCAUAUAUUUACAAAGGAAAUAACCUUGGCAUGAAGUACUUGCUAGCCUCUAAAUACGGAUAUCGCCAUGACUGAAACUGAAAUAAAAGGGCUAAAAGCGCUUCGCAGGGUAUGGCAUGUCUAGCCGUUCGACUCCCAUUUCACUCCGGGGCACCGAGUCUAGGGCAUGCAUGUAUACAUCGAUCUCAUACCCUGCAGUCCUGCACACAUGCAACAGACAAGGACUCAGCACAGAAUAUUAUACAGACUUAAACCAAGAAAUGAGACUGCAAUAAGCGAAUCUGAAUCAUUCAAACUUGACAAAAAUACAGCUUCUAGCCAAGUAGCCUGAUAGUCCGGAUGGACAGAAACAUGAUUGUGAUAGCUGCCAUUGUUGCCCAUAAGCAACCAAGUGAUGUGGCGGUAAGUGCCUACGAGCCGAAGCUCAAGCACGGGAAUCGCUCGUACAGGCAUACUAAUAAGAAACCGUCCAUUUACAGCAACGUUAACAAAAAGUCUUGGGUCUCAAAAAGAUGCCUCGCCUACUGAAAGAGCACGAAGACCAACAGGGAACCACUCAUGAGAAUGUGUGGUGGUAACAAAGACCACAAGAAGGUCCAGAAGAAUUUGGAAAAAAGAAAGCCCUAUGAUUACCCAGGCGAUGUUUCUACUUCUAUCUGCCCCGCUUGCUCGGAUUGCUUCGAGCAUCGACAGGGACAGAUGGUUGGGGCCUGAAAAUGGCACACUGGAUUGAGUAUCUUGCAAUGCGAGCAAAAUACUUGGGUAUAAUUAAAGAAAUGGCGAGCACCUUUUUGCAUCGGAGGUCUGAUCAGGCAACGGCAAGUUAUCUUUCUCCAUGGAACUGCCAAGCUGUGGUGAAUUGUCCUUUUCAGCGACAGACUCAUUAACUGAUCAGACUGUUUCAAUGGCAUGUGAGAAGAAACACGCAUAAAUAAGCAUAGAAGGAAGGAGACGUUUGAAAAUACAGAUGAUCUGGAAGUUACCAAGAUCUCUUUGUCUGUGUCAACAAACUGCUUUGUCUUUAAAAAGAACGCACUGAGAUUUUGCACUAACAUACUGAACAGCUUCAGAGAUUCCAGUAAUCACUCCAAUGACAUCUAAGCAAGCAAAGAAGAGUUAUUAUAAAAUCACCACCAAACAAACGAGAGAAAAGAUGAUUAGUCACAAAAUUACUUGUAAAGCGUUCAGGCAUAUCUGUAGGCCUAGGGAGCUGAGAUGUUGGAGUCAAUGCAUACGUACAGAAGGGGAACUCUGCUUCCAUUCCAGUUCUCUCCACAAGUUCAGUGCGCUUUGUAAACUUAAUCAUUAAAUGACCUUCCACUGGUCUAAAAACAUACUUCCACAGGAAUACGAGGAACUUCUAAAACUUGACGGUGUACAGAACUGCAAAGCAAAGCAAAACAACAGCAAAUGAGAUAGAAAAACAGAAAGCCUUAAACAUCAGUCAGAAAUUUCAAGCUGUAGUUGCAUGGAAAGGGUAAAUAAAAUGGUACCAGCGUUUAUAGGACCAUAGGCAUGGCCUGACUGGAUUUCAUCUAGAUAUUCGUUAAGCUUCAUCUUAGUAAUUUCAAGCCACAUUGGACUACAUGUAAAAAUAGUAAAAGUAUCAGGGGCCUCAUCCACUCGACAAAUUGUAAGACCAUCCUGAAAGUUCUCCUGGUAGUAACGCCGACCAGUGGUAUGGCUGGACGGCACAAUCGUUUUCAUCGGCAAAAGAGAACCAAUAAGAUGAUGGACCUGACCACAAAUUUUGAAGAUAUUAACCCCCGCGUGCCUUCCAGCGAACGAAUGACGUCGCCACAAUAGACGUAAAUGCAAACGUCCAACUGUGAUGCCGUAUCUUUGUCAGGAAUUGCUUGGAAACACGAUCACCAUGACAGGAUAAUAAACGACUCAAUAAAGCAGGAGGAUUUCUGAAAGGUUUAACAACGACUUUUCCACCUUUGCAACAAAGGUUAUAAACAAUUUUACGUAGCACCCAUGAAGAAUAUGGAUUGGCCCUCUCCUCAAACCAAAAAGAAGCCUUGCAGUGAGGGCACUGGUACUUAGGAGGACCAUAGUAAGAUCUAUCCUUAUAGGAAACUACAGAAAACACAAUACUCAAGGAGGCCGUCAUGACAGGAAAAGGAAAAAACAAAACUAACAUCAACAUAAUAGUUAGUACCUUUGCGAUUGUCAACUACCUCGACAGGAAAACCAGUCCAAUCAGUUGGCAAGUCCCCUUCAAACCGAAGAUCUACAUGCAUGUUGUUAUGAGAAACAACAGCCAAAACAAAGAUACUAAGGAUGGAAAGACAGGAACCCCGACCAAGAAGACCAGUACAUGUAACACCAUGGCAACGAAGGCCCCUAAGUAAUUUACGCCUCUUCCGAUUUCUAGCCGACAUGGCAGGAGUGAGCACUGGGAACCAGGCAUCCCCUAGAAAACGACAGAACCGACACAAAUGAACAGAUGCAAGCCAAACAAAACCUAAGGAAAUGACCAUAUAGACAACAUACCCUUUCUCUUACGAAUACCACAAACACCAACAACAGGAGCAUGCAAAACACUCCGACGGCGAGCCAUCAUCAACAAUGAGCACACAUAUAUGCAAAUACUGCAUAUUAAGACGAAAGCGAAGUAAAGACAGCACAGGUAAAUGCAAAAAAGUAUCAAACAGGAGCACAAGAGACAGUAGAGCCAAUUAAAUGAAAUAAUAAUGAUUCAUGCAUACAAAGAGCUGUUUAUUACAAGCAUACCCAAGGGAACAAUAUAAUGACCAGACAUAAUCUAUCUAAGACACUCCUAGACGGGCUUUAGAACCCAGACACCGAAUUGACCAGCUGUGAAUACAAUAAUUGUAAUUGAACACUUGUAUUUAUACCAGCGACAUCAACCUGCCCGCCUGCAUGUACCAGAGGCCAGGCAGGCUGGGCAAGCGCACCUGCAAGCACCAGAACCGACUGCGCAACACCUUUAUACGCUAACAUGCUAUCGUAAUUGUAAUCUGCAACAACAAACCCAUAUAUCCCUUGUAAAAAUUGGUUUGACACCGCACCACGUCAUCCCUAGUAAGAACAUCAAUCUCCACCCCUCCAAGCAGACAACCAUCGGAUGCCACCUCUCGAACAUAAGAAUGAAACGGCAAUCGACAAUAGCUCGCAACAGCCUCAAGCAGAGGCACACAGGAAGAACUGAUAAUAAACAUGCCUGUAAUAAUUAAUUAUUAAGGAGCAACCGGAAAAAUACCAACCCAGACCAUACAAAGGGAAGAACACAGAAGCUUAUGAAAUAAAUAGUAAUAAACACAACUAAAUAGCAAGCAAUAGGAAACAUAGCAAGGCACGACUUACCCUAUGAACCGAGCAGCAGCUCCGCCAGUAAGUAGUUUCCAACAACAAAGUGGAACCCAAGAACUCAGCUGUAACUGAAACAAGCUGCCAAACAGAAAGUAAGGACCAUGAAAGAAAGCAAGGCAAAUUAAUAAACAGAGAAACCAUAUGUAGAAGAAAUGAAGUCUGUAAUUGAGAAGUGCAGAUAAUCACUAAAGUAGAGAACUAACAUAACAUAAUAGCUGAAGGUGGCAAGCAAAAACAAGCAGACCAGAUGAGCAUAGCAAGCGUGAAACGCAUUCAGGAGCAGUUGGUCAACAUGCAAAGACACAUAAUGAAAGCCUAAAGCAUGGACACCAGAUAACCGAAUCUCACAGCAAGAAGCUAACAGCAGACACCCCCUACCAGAAGGCACCCUCAUUAGCAGAACUGUAAACACAUCAAGCACACAAUCUCAAAUUCUCUUUGUAACCAACCAUGCCAAGUUGCCAACCAUCAUGGACAACAUCUUAACAGCCCGGCGGAGCUCAAAUCCAACACUCUCUUCCUAACCAAACAUCCACCCCUUAAGACAAGGCAAACAUCCAGCACUGAGACCAUUAUAAUGGGCAGAGGGAUACCCAACCAUAAUAACUUAGGCAGACCAAAUCAAUCGACAGAGGUCAAUUAACAGACCAAACCCUUUAUUUUUUCACACGUCACCUGACAAAGAAUAAUGUCACCAAACCAGUCCAAAAGGCGCAUACCCUGGUACAUCGACCUCUUCUGAAAAUCUCACUACAAUCAUAGAGAGAGAAUCCCGGCCCUAGCAAGAUCCAGACAACUAAGAAAAAAAACACCUGUCACGCAUAAGCAAACAAAGGAGGCACAAUCGAGAACUACUAAAAUCUAACCGGAGGACACCACCAUUCGUCUCCAUCAACAUAAAGAGACAAAUGUGAACUACCAAAAUCCAACCAGAGGACCCAACCAAUACAAGAAGAAACCAAACAAAUUCACUGAUUUGCCACCGUCCACACCCAUAUGAUCGACGGACACACCAUACCGAGCAAUACACACAGACAAACAAGAAACAUAAAAACAGAGAUAAGGAAAACGAGAGGUCGACCUGUAGUUUCCUGAUGAAAACGCAAAGACCAGCACAGAUCGACCAGCGGCACAGCAAAUCUAGGCCAAGUGAGGAGGAGAACAACGGACCUGCAAGUAAUAGACACCCAAGAUCCAAAACUGGUCAGACAUGACAAUUCGAACACAGAAAAGAGGAAAGAACCGAGAGGAGAACCACCUUAGCCGACGUCACCCCAGCGCGCCGCCAUCGGAGCCCCUCGGCGACCAACCCAGCGACGACUCAUGGACCAGGGAGCAGGACUACAGAGAGGAUUGAGCAACGAAACGAAAGGAGGAGGGGAGUAGAAGAGGCAGGCGACGACGCAGGAUAAGGGAGACGACCCACGCCCUACGCCGUCGUACAGCUCCGGGCCACGCGAGGUCCGGGUGCCUCUCCCCACGCACGGGCAGCGCGCCUCGACCCCGACAUCGGAUCCGGCACCGCCAUGGGCCGCUCGACGGGGCAGGGGCUGGAACUGGAUGGCGGCGGGGCAGGGAGGCGCGGGCGGGGCUAGGGUUUGGAGGGAGGGAGAGAGGCGAGGCGGCAUGGAGAGGAGAGGGGUGCGGCGCGAGUGCGGGUCUGCGGGGAGAGCGACGACCAGGCGCUCACACCUGCCGCUAUGGGAUAUUUUCCCAGUCAUGCAAAAUGACAGAAAUGCCCCCAGCGGGGCACCGGAAUUGCACGCGGUGGCACGCGUUUUUGACUACUAUUCAUUGUAGCAGUGUCUCCUCUCGAUCCGGCGGCCCAGAUCGUCCGGAGGCUCGAUCCGACGGACGGAAUCGCAUCAGAAAACGAGAUGGACGGCCAGAUGUCGCUGAGCUAUGAGAACGCUCAUGUUCUCCCAACUAACAUAGUACGAAGAUAAUAUUAAAUUAAAUGGCCUCUAGAGUGUGUAGGAAUAUUGUCCCCAGAGCUAUAAUAUUGUUGGCACACCUGAGUAGUAUCACUGAGUACAUCUGACUGUAUAUGAAUAUAGUAACCCCAGAGCCAUACAUAGAUCUGCCCUCUGUGGUGCUUUUAUAGGGAUAUAGUAAAUGUACCAGGGAUACUCAACGACCACCCGGUGUUUCCGGUGGAACGCCGUGCAUCAUGGCAUAUGAUCUCCGCGCAUGCACCAACUCCUCGCCGCAAAAAGGCGCCACGCCGAUGAACGGUGCCACACGCACGACCUCUUCUAUUUUAUGCAACUUGAACUACAGUGGGCGCAUACCACACAUCACAUGGGGGUAUUUAUACACGGGCGCGCACACACGACCCGGCCACUAACAAGUCAUGCAUGCAUGCAGCUCGUCGAUGCCGCCGAUUUUGAAGGAAGUUGCUGGGCGUAGUCCCGCGGCCAGGGCGAGCGAGCCUCUAGGCGUGCGUGCGUAGCACCGAUGGGAGCAUACCCGGGGAGCAGGCAAGCCCCAUCCCUGGCGGCGCACACGAUGUGUUGCAGCGCGUACGUUGCGGCUGGCUUAACUGAUCGCCCACAACUCCAGACGCCUCACCAUCACACGCCUGGCCACAAACCGGCUUGACUCGGACUAUUUGAUUGAACCAACAAAGAUGUUGCACCGCUAAUAAUCUGUCUUUAGAAUAGAUCAUGAACAAACCGAAGCGGUCAACUAACAUUUCUCAGGUACUCCCUCAGUUUAGGUGUGUAAGUCAUCUUACAUUGUGCACCGCGACCAAGCGGCUCGGCUCGCUCAGCCAACGAGCCUACUUCAAGCGGCUCGGCUCGUUUUGGGUACGGCUCGGCUCAGACCGAGCCGGCUCGAAAGCCAGCGGCCACCAGUUUUCAUUUUUACUUACAGAAGAAGAAGACAGAACCUCUGUAUAUAGUCCACAAUCUUGAUUGUUUUGCAGCAAUUAAACCCAUAUUUUAAAAGAAAAACAGUUUAUACUGCUUAAAAUGAAACAUCCAGCAGUAUAUUGUUUUAAGAAAUGGUCAUAGUAAUGAAAAAUAAGCUUUCUUCUAUGAAUUUUUCUAAAAAAAUAAGCUUUCUGCAGUAUAUAACAUUAAAGAAAGAUGGUUAAUUAAACUAUGACCAUCCCAGUGGACCGUAUCUAUAUGUUGUAUCUACUAAUCUACACCAUUUGAUAUCAGAUCAAUUUGUGGCCUAGUUGUCCUACAUCUUACCAAUUGUGGUCACCCUUAAACGGAUGGAUGCGUAGGCAGAGGCAUAGUCAACAGCUGAUUCCACCUCCUUCCUGGGUACUUCUCCACAAUGGCUACAUAGCUAGAUUGAACUCACGGAGAACUCCUUCGUGCAUCGAGUUGUCGGCAGAUCUGGUCCAGGAGACCUCUGCCAGCCACCAGAUGCCCACGGGAAUGACCACCCCCUAAACAGCAGCUGGAGCGAUAGGUGGAAGAGUGGACGCCCAAUUAGUUGCCGGGGUCGCCGGAACGGCAUCGCUCGCAGGGGGGUCGCGGCGCGCGGGAUGGCUCGCCGAUGUCACACGUGGCGGCGCCAAUGGGGAUGCGGGGUAGCGGGGUUAAGGCGACGUCGCGGAGAUCGUGUGGCGGCCUACCGGGGUUACACCGUAUGGCGUGCCUUCCUCGCCGGGGACCGGAUCGACAGCAUGGCAGCUGCAGCCACCUCUCUUGAACGCCAUAGAGUGAAUCCCCGCCGUGGAGGCAGAUCUGUGCGGGGCUGGCAGUGAGGAGUGGCGAGGAGGAGAGAGAUCAACGGAUCUGUGGCAGUGUGUGACGGCGGCGACCUGGAGGAGGCGGUGUGUGACGGCGGCGACCUGGAGGCGGCGGCUCCUCUCGGGGCUGGGGCGGCUCCUCUCGGCGGCGGCGGUGGCGGUGGCUCCUCUCGGGGGCUGGGGCGUCUCCUCUCGGCUGCGGCGGCUCCUCUUGGGGCUCGGGGCUGAGAUGAAACAGAUCGAGAUUGAGGGAGCCUCGUUGGCUGUUUGUUUUAAGUGCGGGUGAGAUACGAAAGAAAAACCAGACCAAAAAAACGACGAAAAAAAACCAAACGAAGAUGGGACGAAAAAACCUACGAAAACUACCAACUGCUUCAUUAGGAGCCUCAUGUUUCAUUUUUUUCUCACCCCCUUCGUCUAACAUUUUAGUAAGCUAAUUAAUCAACUUUUUGAACUCUCCAACCCCUUAUUUAUUCAGAAGAAACCAACAAAGAGUCUAUUACAAUAAGGGAAAGUAAGGCAUUAGGGGCCUCAUCAAACCAGGUGCUAGGGGAGAGAACCUAGCUAAUCUUGCUAACUCGUGGGCAACAGAAUUUGCUUCACGAUGGCGAUGCUUAAACUAACCUAAUUAAUCAACUUAAUUUAUUUAACAAACCAAUUUAAGUUUUGUUUACUUACCAAACUUCUCGUCAAAAUAUAACAUAAAUCACAGGCAUAAUUGUCUUAAUAUGGGCGUAAUAGGUUACUUAUAUCCCAAGAUUCUAUUUACAAAACUGUAUUAAUAUAGGCAGAUAAAUCACAAUCUAAUAUAAUAUAGAUUAUUAUAUCCUCACGGGCAUUACAAUAGUAAAUAACAAGAGAAGAAUAACCGGCCCGAAUAAAUUGCAAUAGUAACCUACAGACAUCCAAAGUUCUUGCCCUUCCCCCACCCCCGCCGCCGCUCCACGAGCGGGCCGGGGAAACCUAGCUCCGCCCCCAGCCUCCCCUCCUUCGGCCUCCUCCUCCCUCGCCGCCGCCUAGGGGUGCCGCCGGGCAAAGCCCGAUCGGCGUGGGCGGCGGCGGGGUCGCUCCCUCUCCUCCUCGCGGAGCUCCCGGCCGGCGCGGGACGGCGGGCUGCAGGAGGCGUCAGGCUGUGGCGGGGCUCGGCGGCGCGAAUCCGGGAGCUCCUGGUGGUGCCGGCGUGUCGGCCCCGCUGGUGCUUCGUGGUGGCGCGGCGACUACUUGGUGGGGCGUGCGUGGGCGUGAUUCGGCGGCGGAUCUGGCCAGGCGGCGCUGGCCGUGGGCGGUGUGGGCGGCGGCUGGGGUCCGGCUUCGGGCUCUCGGCGGCUGCGAUGGUUCCUCUCCGUCGCGGGCGUGCAGCGGUGGUGCUUUGGACGGUGGCGGUCCGGCGACCUGGUGGUGGUGGCCGGCGGUGCACGUGGUGGUGGUGCUUCCACUUGGCGGCUCUCUGUGCCGGGAGGCAGGGGAGCGGCUUGGACGGGGACGGCGACGCCGACGGUGUGCCGGCUGCAGCGCGAAGGCGGGAACUUUACGGGCCUGUGCGGCCACGGGCCUGGUAUGUUCCUGCUAUUGUGUCCGGUCAGCUACCGUCAUCGACGGUGGAGGUGGGGCCCUCCCGCGUGCCGAUGGUGCCGCUGCCCUAGUCCCGGCUCCUCUUCUUCAUUGUGCAGGCCAUGCUUCGCGGUGCCGUGGUGAGACAGCGUAGGAAGCUUCAUGUCCGGGUUGGCGCAGGGUGGUGGUCGGUUUGAUGGUGAGCUCCGGAGUGCCUGAGGUGAAGGUUGGGAUCAGGAGAAAUCCCUGUUGGCUUGGCCGACACCGACGCGGUGGCGCAUGAUGAUGCCGCCGGACCUUCCUGGAGGGCGUCGAGGCUACCCUUCCUCUCUCCUCACACGGUACCGGGGGAAACCCUUGGCAGCAGCGUCGUCAUCGUCGCGACCCUUCUUGGAGGAGUUGAUUGGUACCGGCGCUUUGGAGGCUCGGAGCUUCGUGGGCGAUCUCCGGUGGAUGCAGCGGCCACGAGGCUUCUUCGUUUUUUGUCGAUCCGCCGCUGUCGGCAUUUGUUUCUCUUAUAUUUUCUCUUUCAUUUUUUUGGGCGUGACUGUGCUGCUUCUACCCCAGCACCUAUCGUUGAUUGUCUCGGUUGAUUGCUUUGUAUACAAAGCGAAGGAAACCCUUUUUCGGUAAUUGCAAUAGUAAAUAACAAGAGAAGAAUAGCCGGCCCGAAUAAAUUGCAUUCUCUAGCCCCCGACACCAGCUUUUCUUAAGAAACAUCUCUUCUUUCCCUUUCCAUUUUCAAAAUUGGGAAUGUAAAGAUGAAACAAAUACUACAAUUAGAUCAGGUUUAGUCCUAAACUUCGAACUUAUAAAAGAAAAUAAAAAAGAAUACUUAUCAAAGAAUAUUUUUUUGCUCCACUUAAUAGACAAGCAGAAUAGAUUUGUCACUGAAGACUUCCCGACAAGGUCAGGCCGGUUAUGAAGCGACAACAGCUACGCGUCGGUGUCUCAUUCUAGCGGCAGCAAUGGUCGUUCGAUUUGAUGGUCCAGGACCUUGAUGUAUAACACUAGGAAAAAGGCCUGUGCGUUGCAACGGGGAGAAAAGAGACUUAGCACCGCAUAACUCGAGGCCCCUUAGCAGACUUGCACAAACUAAAUAUGCAAUACUCGGGCAGUUCCCUACUAACACUGACAAUAAACUAUAAGAUAUGAUCAAUCCUAGAGGUUAAGGAAAUCAGCAGCUAUAUUUUCCCUAUUUAUGUGCUCUGAUCGUGGUAUUGCCGUUGUUGAAGGCAUACAUGUGGGCCCCGUUGUCGACAACCUCUACGGGAUAAACUAUGGCCAUGAUGCAGACCCUGCUGCCACCGCCGAAGCUCUCCACCGCUGAUGGAUCAAUCUGCAUGACACAUCAUUCAUGUUCAGUUCUGACACAAAGUGCGCGAAGUGAACAACAUGAGAAAUGAAAUAGCUUCCCAAACUCACCAGAGUUCUCAGAGAUAUCUUCUUUUCCUUUUGAAGAUCAGAUUCAAAGAAGCCUCCAUAGGCUGGUGUGUAUAGUCCUAGUCUUAAUGAAGAACUGUGCAAAAGAAAAGAAAAUAUUUAUUUUUACUCUUCAGACAUUUUUAGAGAUAAAUAAAACAUUAAGGCAAAAACCAUAAGCAUUAACCUUCUUCAGAUUAGCCACAGUUGCUCUGAAAAAUAUAUAGAACACCUAACAUGCCAUUCCUUUUGUUACCAAAUAUGUAAAAUUCUAUAUAAACUUCAGAAGACCCUGCAUCAUUUACUGACCUGAAACUUUUUGAGGUAAAUUUUUUGUUUGGAUGACCAAGGCAAGCCUGUUUGUGUAAAGGAAAGUACCUGAAAACUGUCAGCUCCCUUAAUCUCAAAUAAACCUCCUUUCUUCAGCUCUAGUCCAUGACGGUUGAUUUCAUUUCCUCGAAGGGACUCGACCUCUUGAACUGGCUAGUGAAGCAACUGCUUGCCAUGGCUGUCUAACCAAAUUGUCCCGGGAAUUGCCUAAAAUUAAUAGCAAAAAAUGUUAAAGUUGCUACACUGAUUGCUAAAUCAAUAUUUCAAUAUGAAGCAGUUAUAGCCAAUGAGAGGCAGAUUUUUUUACAUGGAUUCCAGCCCAAGCUUUUGCUACAUCGUCUGAAGAACUGUCAGUCUUGUUAGUCCAACCCGGUAUGAUUCUCCUGCCCUUCUACGAGUCGAAAUUACCAUAAUCGAUCCUCGACCAUAGCUGACAGUCAUCUAGAAUAAAGGUGUCACUUUUCAGAUCAUAAACCCCAAUCAUGUACUUGUCACAGGAAUAUCCAAAACAGUCAUUCAUGCCCAACUUCUCUGAAGUUCGAGGCAGCGGUUGGCAUUAUUUUUCCUGUUAGUCUUAACUUUUUCCUUUUUUUGUGAUUUUGAAAUUUUGAUUUCCUAAAAAGUUGAAAGCUUGGAAUUCUCAAAGUCAAAAGAUCUAAAAGCUCAAAUUUCAAAAGGUUGAAACUUGAAUUCGAGAUUCUAAAACUGAAAUUUCAAAAGUUUCAAAUUCCGAAAGCCGACACACAAAUUUCUAAAAAUCCGCACCACAAAUUCCAAAAGUCCCCAAAAAAGAAAACUUUCUAAAAUGGUAUGUUCUUGUUUUUAGCAGAUGUACUCCCUCCAUUCCAAAAUACUUGUAGUGGUUUUAGUCCAAAGUUAAAAAAGAGCCUACCAGCGCAGCCACGAGUUAACCAUGUCAUUUCAGGAUAUUUCAUAGGGUAUGGGGAGUCUGGAAAAGAAGGUGCUCUGUACGUGAGAAAUUAACUCUCUCUAAAAUUUCCACUACUAACUGCGAUGAAACACUAAACAUGGGUUUCUGACAAAUAAACAACUUCUCAAUCCUAAUCCACCAACGAACUCAUACCCUUAAACUCACAUUUUCCCUUUCUGUGAAAAAGGAAAUUGCUUCUGGAUCUAAGGCUCCAAGGAGCCCGAUUUUCGGAAAUUUAUAAAGAAUUUUGAAAAACUUUGAAGUUUCAAAUUGUGAAAACGAACACAUGUACGUAGGGAUGUACACUACAUGUAUGUGCAGUUUCAUGAUGAAAAAUCAUGUAUAUCUAGCCGGCACACUAUUCACUAUGGAAGUUCAUGAUUUUAUUUUUCGUAGCUCACAUCGUAACUUAUCUCAUCAUGAAAACUUACAGACAUGUAAUAUACAUCCAUAUAUAUGUGUAUAUUUUGUUUCAGAUUUUGAAACUUUAAAAUAUGAUGAUCUUACCUGUUCAGCACCCACCAUUGAAGAGAAAACCCAUCCCAUCUGUGACAGAGACAAAGGCACCUCAAACAAACAGGAACGGUCAUGAAAAAUGCACUCGAGACCAUCAUCAUCAGCCUAGAUGCAUUAGUUCAUUGUUCAACCCAUACAAGGUCUGCACCACGAUCUGCUACCUACUACUCCUAUCUAGGUUAAAAAUCCUGCUACACUGAGACCGAGAGUGCGGCGAUUCUACAUGCAACCAGCACGAAACUGCAUUAGCCGAGUCUCCAGCAUCAUCGAAGAAAUUGCUUCUCUAACAAACUGCAAAAGAAACAAACAUAUUUGACUGUCAGCAUUUAUAUGGAUAGAUCCGAACUGUAUACAAGAGCAUUUUAUAUAGUAUACUUCAGAACUGCUGAUCAAGUCUAAGGGGGCUGACUGACGUAAAGACAAACAGAGCCCUUGCGAAGAGGAGAGGAUUUAAGACAACAAGGAAAACUAUCCUGACAGUUUCUACGAGUACAUAUCUGAUGUUGGUCGAUUAGUUUGGGCAUUUGGCAACACAGAAGUCCUAGACUUCAUGAAUAAACUGCAGCUCCCCAUGUAUUUUCAUAGCUAGCAGAAGUAACAAAAUAAGGUUGCCAUGCUCGAAAUCUCAAACCAAUACGGAAAUGGGAGAAACAGCAGUGCGUUUUGUGAAAACAUCUAACUCCAGUGCUGGAAAAACAGUUAUGUUUGGUCAUAACUCAUAAGCAAGCGGGUUUGUAUUUUUUUUUAUCCGCAAACUGAGCUUGGCCAAUUAUCAAAUCGGUGCUUCGGCAAAAGAUAAAGAAAUAUUGGAUUCAAGUAUUCAACCUAGGCAAAUAAUGGUAAGAACAAUGUACCUGCGCUCCGAUCGAACAUUGUAUUGCAAGCACACAUCUUCACUUCUAUUCAUCCUCAGAGUCAUCGGAAGUUUGGUCGCUUUCAUAGUCUGGGAUUGCUCUAAAAAUGUAGACCUGCAUCAUUUACAUAACUAAUGAGGUUGCACAAUAUGGCACUUGGCAGUGAGAUAAAACAACCUCCUCACGAUUAGGCCUUAAAAGAAUCCCUUCCAUUAUCUAAAAAGAUAUAAUUGUGGACAAUUAAAGGCCUGUGAACUGUGAAGGAAGUAAUUCCUAGAGGCACUUUUAGAUCUGGCUGGAAUGAAGGCAUAUACAGUAGGGAUGCUUAGCAAUAACAUCAUUUCCUGCAAACUGUGUGCAGAAUUAAUGGGCAGUCCAAUUGUUAUUGUCUAAAACCAAAAAGGAAUAAGAAAAAUAAUACUCCCUCCGUCCCAAAAUAUAAGAACGUUCUUAUAUUUUGGGACGGAGGGAGUAUUUGAUAACAGUGUUGCAAUUCCCCUAACAAAUUUCUGUGAAGUCUUGCUAGCUGGUAUAAAAUGCGAACUUAUUAUAUUAUCACUGCCAACCACUAAUGCAAAAUCUUGACCUUGUUUCCCUCGAAAAGACUACUUUUCCACAUGAAGUUAUUUACAAAAAAGGGACAUCUUCCAUGGUUCUAAAGUUAAAACUACACAAUAAUAAAUAGCUCAAACUCAUGCACACCAUCAGCCAAAACACUGUUAACUGAUAGGUUUCGGUACUCUUUUAUACUCUGAAUUCUAGACUCUCGAGCACUGAAAUCAGCAGGCAUGCAUACAACACAAGCAAACGAUGGGUUUGCUAUAAUGUAAGUAAUGAAAAAUACAAAAUUUAAAUGCUUCUCAAAAGUGAUCAAACACGAUCUAUUACCACAAUUUCACAGCAGACUGAAAUCUAUAAUCUGCUGCAUCUUAACUUCAAACAAAAUAGGUCUGAUCCAUUCUUGCCAAUCGAAAGAGAUAUUAAUCUACAGAAUCAAGCAUACACAAGACAUACCUUUGCUUCACAUGUCCCGAUGACAAAGUCUAAAUCACCAGUGACCAGAAGGGACUCCAACGCCUGUAACUUCCCGCCGCCGGGCAGAUGAGUGAAGAGCGGGAGGCCAGGGCCGUAGGAGAGGCCGGGCGAGGUGGGGGUGCAGCGGCGACCUGGGUGUCAGGGAUGGCGGAUCCAAGAAUUCAACUUUGGGUGUUCAAAUUUUCUUUUUCGCCCUAAUAUCGACCUUUUUCCCCGUUUCAGCCUUAAAAAUUUCAUUUGUUAUUUUUCACUAAUGGAAUCAAUCACAUCAGGAUAGUGCUAUGUACAAAGCUACAUCUCUCUAAAUCAAAACAGAAGCUACAGGUCAACGAAUGCAAUUUCAGAUUGGAACUUUGAAGGGGAUUGGUGUACUCUUGGCUUGAUGAGUUCUCCAUCGGCGUAGCCGCACAAAGCUGAGUUGGCCACGGGUGCAUGCAGUACUGGUCUGCAGCCUAGUUUAUCUGGACUGAAGCUGAGUUGAGUAAUCUCACGCUGCGUACUCUCUAAACUCAAGCAUGUACGCAGUAUUUUUUGUCAUAUACCUAUAUAAAUGGAUUUUUUGCAGAAUUUUUUGGAUGUAUAGAUGUACACCCAUGACCUGUGCUGUUAGCAGGCUUGCCAGUACUACGCCAUCGUCCCAACCGCCAGUCGAGGCCGACGAAGGAACGGCCCAAGGCCCAGCUAGGAGAGCCCGCAAGCCCAACAAACGAGUGGCUGGCGAGGAGUGGGUGAACACGACCCAGGAAGCAUAAAGCAGGGGAUCGCUCUCUGGACAAGGAUCGAAGAUCGAUCAGGCUGGAACGGCACGGCGGCGGCGGCUACCUACUUAGAACCCUAGUUCCUUUCCCUUUUCCUUCCUGUAUCCAGCACUGAUGUGCUUGUAAGAAGAGAAUCCUGUACUCUGAACCACAUACAUACCUGAGACAGUAGUGCAGUCCUAACACUUGGUACUCAGAGCCAGGACCCAAUUUUGCUUCCGCCCUGGCGGCUUCCAUCAUCGAGACACGACAGCAGAGGGCAGACCGACUGCAACGGGAGGCCAUGGAUCCCGUCACCAAGGCCGACCUCAAGGACCUCUUGAAGGAGCUUCGAGCGGAAUGGAGGGAAGACAUCAAGUCUUCGGUCGCUGCGGAAUUCGCAUCCUGGAAGCCUGAGAUCGACUCGAAGAUGGCUGAUCUGCAAGAGGCAGUCGACUUACUCAAGCAGAAGCAAGCGAGCGGCAAGAUCGAUGACGCGGGGGAGGCGUUGGCGCCAGAUCACCCUGAUCUGGUGGCGCGGAAGAGCACUUCGUCUUCGGACGAUUCUCCGGCGCGCGUUUCUCCUCGGGCUGAUGGCCACGGCACUGCCUCACCUCCACGGACGGCGGUUGACGGGCUGUUCAUCAGUCCGCCGGCCCCUCCGGCCAACGGUACGGUCCACCCACAACUUCCAUCGUCUGCUGUAGCCACUGCUAUAUCACCAACUACUCCGUCACCAUUUUUUUCCUUGCACGCUCCUAGUCCACCAACCAUGCCAUUUCCGUUGUUUGAUGGCGAAAAUCCACUCCUUUGGAAGGAUCUCUGUGAGCAGUACUUUGCUAUCUAUGGUAUUCAGGAGUCCGUUUGGGUCCAGAUGGCUACUCUGAAUUUUUCCCCUACUACAGCAGUGUGGUUACAGUCUGUUAGGAAAAAGGUUAUGGCCUUGAAUUGGGAGGGGUUAUGCAAUUUGCUCUCCACCCGUUUCGGUCGGGAUCGACACCAGCUACUGAUCAGACAAUUCUUUGCCAUUAAGCAAUCUAGCACAGUCCAGGAUUACAUUGAGAGAUUUGAGCAUUUGAUGAACCAAUUGUUAUCAUAUUCUGAUGAAAUUCAUCCUUUCUAUUUUUUGACACGCUUCAUCGGUGGACUUCGGGCGGAUUUGCGAGCGGCGAUCAUGGUCCAACGCCCUGCUGAUUUGGACACAGCCUGUGCUCUCGCCCUGGUCCAGGAGGAGGUGCAAGAUGGAGUGCGACCGGAGAACAUACGUUUUCCGGAGCAAGCUUAUCGACCAGCGCCACGCCUUCCUUUACAGGCAGUUCCUCUUCAUCAACCACGACCACCUACAACACCAGCCGCGGUUGAUCGUUGUGGUGUGGAGGCAGCUCGUGCAGCCCCCGUCGAGCAACCACGUCCGCAACCAGCGGAAGCUAAUCCCCUCAACACCUUACGGGCGUACAGACGAGCUCGUGGGCUCUGUUUCAAGUGUGGCGAGCGUUGGGGACGCGACCACACUUGCCCUGCAACCAUUCAGAUGCAUGUACUAGAGGAACUCAUGGAUUUCUUGGGAGUCACACCGUCAGAGGAAGCAGAGCCGAGCAACACUUCUGACACCACUGAAGAAACAGUGUAUGCAGUCUCUUUACAAGCGUUCAAUGGGAAUGAUUCUUCCAAGUUGUUGCAAUUUAGUGCCACAAUCCAGGGACAAAGUGUGGAAGUAUUAGUGGAUUCUGGGAGCUCAGCGUCCUUUAUCAAUUCUCGUUGUGUGGGGGGACUCCAAGGACUGCAACCUAUGGCCAAACCAGCUCGUGUUAAAGUGGCCAAUGGAGCGGAACUGCAAUGUGAUCAGGAGUUGCUCAACUGCCAAUGGACAGUCCAGAAUCAUCAGUUGUUGGCGUCACUAAAGGUAUUACCACUUGGAGGGUUUGAUGUCAUUGUCGGGAUGGAUUGGUUGGAAGCAUUCAAUCCAGCCAUUGAUUGGAUCAACAAGACUGUCACACUCCAGUCAGAAACUGGUCCCAUCCAAUUGCAAGGCCAUAAGUUCUCCGCAUCGAAUUGCCCGCAAAUUUCAUCAGAAGAGCUGCACUUCAUGUGUGUACAGGGAGAAGUGGAUCACCUGGUUUAUGUAUGCUCAAAGGAUGCCAAGCCAGUACAGAAAGGUGCAGAAUCACCGGAUCCACCAGUUGAAAUCCAACACCUCUUGGAUGAGUUAUCAGAUGUGGUUGCAGCACCGCAAGGCCUUCCUCCCAACAGAGCAUGUGAUCAUCGUAUUCCCCUCUUGCCAGGAGCUCAACCUAUCAGCAUUCGCCCUUAUCGGCACUCACCAGAAACAAAAACGGAGAUCGAACGACAAGUUGAAGAGUUGCUCGCGUCUGGCAUCAUCCAACACUCCAACAGCCCGUUUGCCUCACCAGCCAUCCUAGUCAGGAAGAAGGACGGACAAUGGCGUUUGUGUAUUGAUUAUCGCAAACUGAAUGCAUUGACUGUCACACCAAAAUUCCCCCUUCCGGUCAUCGAUGAACUUUUGGAUGAAUUGUCCGGAGCGAGCUGGUUCUCCAAGCUGGACCUCCGUGCCGGCUAUCACCAGAUCAGGUUAGCAGCGGGAGAGGAAUACAAGACAGCCUUUCAGACACACUCCGGCCACUAUGAGUACAAGGUCCUUCCUUUUGGAGUUUCUGGAGGCCCGGCCACGUUUCAAGGGGGCAUGAAUCACACUUUGAAGCCUGUGUCGCGCCGCUGCGCAUUGGUAUUCUUUGAUGACAUUUUGGUAUUCUCCAUCUCUUUUGAAGAUCACAUCAAGCACCUCCGUGAAGUGUUGCAACUAUUGCGUCAAGAUCAAUGGCAAGUCAAAUUUUCCAAGUGCUCAUUUGCUCAGAGAGAACUCUCUUACUUGGGUUUUGUUGUGAGCCAGCAAGGUGUUUCUACCGAGCCCGAGAAGAUCCAGAAAGUCCAACAAUGGCCAGUGCCUCUCAAUGUCAAGCAAUUACGACAGUUUUUGGGUCUUUCCGGAUAUUACCGUAAGUUUGUUCGCCACUAUGGGGUAAUUGCUAAACCCUUGACUCAUUUGCUGAAGAAGCAUGUCCCAUUCGUGUGGACCAGUGAAUGUACCACAUCAUUUGAAACACUGAAAAAUGCCCUAGUGACAGCUCCAGUCCUUGCCUUGCCCAACUUCACGAAGGAAUUUGUCGUUGAGACCGACACCAGUGAUUUGGGAGUUGGAGCAGUCUUACAACAAGAAGGCCACCCCUUGGCAUUCUUGAGUAAACCUCUUGGCCCAAAAAACAGAGGAUUGUCUACUUAUGAAAAAGAACUUCUCGCUAUUCUGUUGGCUGUGGAGCAUUGGCGAUCGUACCUUCAAUCAGCUAAGUUCAUCAUCAAAACGGACCAGCGUAGUCUGGUUCACCUCGAAGACCAACGUCUCCACACCCCAUGGCAACACAAGGCGUUCACCAAGCUUCUCGGGCUGCGCUACAAAAUAUGCUAUCGAAAAGGUGCGGAUAAUGGAGCAGCUGAUGCACUUUCACGCCGUCCUUUCUCUGACACCGAUGAAUUGUAUGCUAUUUCCCUGUGCAAAACGGAAUGGAUCAAAGACGUGCGAGAAGGGUAUGCACAGGAUACGGCAACACAGAAGAUAGUGGAGGACUUACAGGCUAAUCCCCAAUCCCAUAAAAAAUUUACACUUUCAGAGGGCAUUUUACGCUACCAAGGGCGUAUUUGGAUUGGGAGGAAUUCCCAAUUGCAACAACAAGUAUUAAUAGCAGGGCAUCAAUCUGCCGUCGGGGGGCACUCUGGCGCACCAGCCACAUACCAGCGGCUGAAGACGGUAUGUGCGUGGCCGCGUAUGAAACAUGCAGUGACUGAAUUUGUCCAAUCCUGUGCAGUUUGCCAACAGGCCAAGCCCGAGAGAUGCAAGUACCCCGGCCUCCUUGAACCCCUUCCGGUUCCUGUUCGUGCAUGGCAGAUGGUUUCUAUGGAUUUCAUCGAAGGAUUGCCACGGUCAGGACGAUUCAAUUGCAUUUUGGUCGUCGUGGAUAAGUUCUCCAAAUACAGCCAUUUCCUACCAUUGUCGCAUCCAUUCUCUGCUUCCCAAGUGGCAACUACUUAUGUGGAUCAAGUUUACAGACUGCAUGGACUACCAGAUUCUAUUCUAUCCGACCGAGAUCCAAUCUUUACAAGCAGAUUCUGGCAAGAGCUCUUUCGACAAACCCAAACAACCCUUCGGAUGAGCACACCAUAUCACCCAGCCACGGAUGGGCAAACUGAGCGUACAAACCAAUGCCUCGAGACUUUCCUCAGAUGUUUUGUGCAUUCUUGUCCAAAGAAAUGGAGUUCAUGGCUUCCUCUUGCUGAAUUCUGGUUUAACACCAGCUGGCACAGUGCUCUUGGGAAAUCCCCCUUCUUUGUCCUUUACGGCCACAAACCUCGACAUUGGGGUAUCGAAGCAGCCUCAGCCACUCCAGUUUCUGAUCUGAACACUUGGUUAUCAGAACGGGAAGAAAUGCAAGCUCUAAUUCGACAACACCUCCUCCGAGCUCAGACGAGAAUGAAAAACCAAGCUGACAAGAACCGAUCUGAACGAAGCUUUGAAAUUGGGGAUUCUGUCUACAUUAAACUCCAACCUUAUGUUCAGAGUUCUGUUGCUCGCCGAGCGUGUCAUAAGCUCUCGUUUCGCUACUUUGGGCCAUUUCUGGUGCAAGCUCGCAUUGGACAAGUGGCUUACCGUGUGGGUUUACCAGAGACUUCGAAGAUCCAUCCCGUCUUUCACGUCUCGCAGCUUCGCAAGGCUGUGAAACCAGGUGUGUCUGUUUCCUCUGUUCUUCCUCACAAUACUAAUCAGUUUGCGGUUCCUUUGGAAGUGCUUGACAGUCGCCAAAAGACCAAGGCCAAUAGAGUGGUUGAACAAGUGCUCGUCCGUUGGUCUGGUGACACUCUGGAGCCGACGUGGGAGGAUCGUGACGAGCUCCAGUCACGUUUUCCGUGCGCCACGGCUUGGGGACAAGCCGCAACUCAAGCAGGGGAGGGUGUUAGCAGGCUUGCCAGUACUACGCCAUCGUCCCAACCGCCAGUCGAGGCCGACGAAGGAACGGCCCAAGGCCCAGCUAGGAGAGCCCGCAAGCCCAACAAACGAGUGGCUGGCGAGGAGUGGGUGAACACGACCCAGGAAGCAUAAAGCAGGGGAUCACUCUCUGGACAAGGAUCGAAGAUCGAUCAGGCUGGAACGGCACGGCGGAGGCGGCUACCUACUUAGAACCCUAGUUCCUUUCCCUUUUCCUUCCUGUAUCCAGCACUGAUGUGCUUGUAAGAAGAGAAUCCUGUACUCUGAACCACAUACAUACCUGAGACAGUAGUGCAGUCCUAACACUUGGUACUCAGAGCCAGGACCCAAUUUUGCUUCCGCCCUGGCGGCUUCCAUCAUCGAGACACGACAGCAGAGGGCAGACCGACUGCAACGGGAGGCCAUGGAUCCCGUCACCAAGGCCGACCUCAAGGACCUCUUGAAGGAGCUUCGAGCGGAAUGGAGGGAAGACAUCAAGUCUUCGGUCGCUGCGGAAUUCGCAUCCUGGAAGCCUGAGAUCGACUCGAAGAUGGCUGAUCUGCAAGAGGCAGUCGACUUACUCAAGCAGAAGCAAGCGAGCGGCAAGAUCGAUGACGCGGGGGAGGCGUUGGCGCCAGAUCACCCUGAUCUGGUGGCGCGGAAGAGCACUUCGUCUUCGGACGAUUCUCCGGCGCGCGUUUCUCCUCGGGCUGAUGGCCACGGCACUGCCUCACCUCCACGGACGGCGGUUGACGGGCUGUUCAUCAGUCCGCCGGCCCCUCCGGCCAACGGUACGGUCCACCCACAACUUCCAUCGUCUGCUGUAGCCACUGCUAUAUCACCAACUACUCCGUCACCAUUUUUUUCCUUGCACGCUCCUAGUCCACCAACCAUGCCAUUUCCGUUGUUUGAUGGCGAAAAUCCACUCCUUUGGAAGGAUCUCUGGGAGCAGUACUUUGCUAUCUAUGGUAUUCAGGAGUCCGUUUGGGUCCAGAUGGCUACUCUGAAUUUUCCCCCUACUACAGCAGUGUGGUUACAGUCUGUUAGGAAAAAGGUUAUGGCCUUGAAUUGGGAGGGGUUAUGCAAUUUGCUCUCCACCCGUUUCGGUCGGGAUCGACACCAGCUACUGAUCAGACAAUUCUUUGCCAUUAAGCAAUCUAGCACAGUCCAGGAUUACAUUGAGAGAUUUGAGCAUUUGAUGAACCAAUUGUUAUCAUAUUCUGAUGAAAUUCAUCCUUUCUAUUUUUUGACACGCUUCAUCGGUGGACUUCGGGCGGAUUUGCGAGCGGCGAUCAUGGUCCAACGCCCUGCUGAUUUGGACACAGCCUGUGCUCUCGCCCUGGUCCAGGAGGAGGUGCAAGAUGGAGUGCGACCGGAGAACAUACGUUUUCCGGAGCAAGCUUAUCGACCAGCGCCACGCCUUCCUUUACAGGCAGUUCCUCUUCAUCAACCACGACCACCUACAACACCAGCCGCGGUUGAUCGUUGUGGUGUGGAGGCAGCUCGUGCAGCCCCCGUCGAGCAACCACGUCCGCAACCAGCGGAAGCUAAUCCCCUCAACACCUUACGGGCGUACAGACGAGCUCGUGGGCUCUGUUUCAAGUGUGGCGAGCGUUGGGGACGCGACCACACUUGCCCUGCAACCAUUCAGAUGCAUGUACUAGAGGAACUCAUGGAUUUCUUGGGAGUCACACCGUCAGAGGAAGCAGAGCCGAGCAACACUUCUGACACCACUGAAGAAACAGUGUAUGCAGUCUCUUUACAAGCGUUCAAUGGGAAUGAUUCUUCCAAGUUGUUGCAAUUUAGUGCCACAAUCCAGGGACAAAGUGUGGAAGUAUUAGUGGAUUCUGGGAGCUCAGCGUCCUUUAUCAAUUCUCGUUGUGUGGGGGGACUCCAAGGACUGCAACCUAUGGCCAAACCAGCUCGUGUUAAAGUGGCCAAUGGAGCGGAACUGCAAUGUGAUCAGGAGUUGCUCAACUGCCAAUGGACAGUCCAGAAUCAUCAGUUGUUGGCGUCACUAAAGGUAUUACCACUUGGAGGGUUUGAUGUCAUUGUCGGGAUGGAUUGGUUGGAAGCAUUCAAUCCAGCCAUUGAUUGGAUCAACAAGACUGUCACACUCCAGUCAGAAACUGGUCCCAUCCAAUUGCAAGGCCAUAAGUUCUCCGCAUCGAAUUGCCCGCAAAUUUCAUCAGAAGAGCUGCACUUCAUGUGUGUACAGGGAGAAGUGGAUCACCUGGUUUAUGUAUGCUCAAAGGAUGCCAAGCCAGUACAGAAAGGUGCAGAAUCACCGGAUCCACCAGUUGAAAUCCAACACCUCUUGGAUGAGUUCUCAGAUGUGUUUGCAGCACCGCAAGGCCUUCCUCCCAACAGAGCAUGUGAUCAUCGUAUUCCCCUCUUGCCAGGAGCUCAACCUAUCAGCAUUCGCCCUUAUCGGCACUCACCAGAAACAAAAACGGAGAUCGAACGACAAGUUGAAGAGUUGCUCGCGUCUGGCAUCAUCCAACACUCCAACAGCCCGUUUGCCUCACCAGCCAUCCUAGUCAGGAAGAAGGACGGACAAUGGCGUUUGUGUAUUGAUUAUCGCAAACUGAAUGCAUUGACUGUCACACCAAAAUUCCCCCUUCCGGUCAUCGAUGAACUUUUGGAUGAAUUGUCCGGAGCGAGCUGGUUCUCCAAGCUGGACCUCCGUGCCGGCUAUCACCAGAUCAGGUUAGCAGCGGGAGAGGAAUACAAGACAGCCUUUCAGACACACUCCGGCCACUAUGAGUACAAGGUCCUUCCUUUUGGAGUUUCUGGAGGCCCGGCCACGUUUCAAGGGGGCAUGAAUCACACUUUGAAGCCUGUGUCGCGCCGCUGCGCAUUGGUAUUCUUUGAUGACAUUUUGGUAUUCUCCAUCUCUUUUGAAGAUCACAUCAAGCACCUCCGUGAAGUGUUGCAACUAUUGCGUCAAGAUCAAUGGCAAGUCAAAUUUUCCAAGUGCUCAUUUGCUCAGAGAGAACUCUCUUACUUGGGUUUUGUUGUGAGCCAGCAAGGUGUUUCUACCGAGCCCGAGAAGAUCCAGAAAGUCCAACAAUGGCCAGUGCCUCUCAAUGUCAAGCAAUUACGACAGUUUUUGGGUCUUUCCGGAUAUUACCGUAAGUUUGUUCGCCACUAUGGGGUAAUUGCUAAACCCUUGACUCAUUUGCUGAAGAAGCAUGUCCCAUUCGUGUGGACCAGUGAAUGUACCACAUCAUUUGAAACACUGAAAAAUGCCCUAGUGACAGCUCCAGUCCUUGCCUUGCCCAACUUCACGAAGGAAUUUGUCGUUGAGACCGACGCCAGUGAUUUGGGAGUUGGAGCAGUCUUACAACAAGAAGGCCACCCCUUGGCAUUCUUGAGUAAACCUCUUGGCCCAAAAAACAGAGGAUUGUCUACUUAUGAAAAAGAACUUCUCGCUAUUCUGUUGGCUGUGGAGCAUUGGCGAUCGUACCUUCAAUCAGCUAAGUUCAUCAUCAAAACGGACCAGCGUAGUCUGGUUCACCUCGAAGACCAACGUCUCCACACCCCAUGGCAACACAAGGCGUUCACCAAGCUUCUCGGGCUGCGCUACAAAAUAUGCUAUCGAAAAGGUGCGGAUAAUGGAGCAGCUGAUGCACUUUCACGCCGUCCUUUCUCUGACACCGAUGAAUUGUAUGCUAUUUCCCUGUGCAAACCGGAAUGGAUCAAAGACGUGCGAGAAGGGUAUGCACAGGAUACGGCAACACAGAAGAUAGUGGAGGACUUACAGGCUAAUCCCCAAUCCCAUAAAAAAUUUACACUUUCAGAGGGCAUUUUACGCUACCAAGGGCGUAUUUGGAUUGGGAGGAAUUCCCAAUUGCAACAACAACUAUUAAUAGCAGGGCAUCAAUCUGCCGUCGGGGGGCACUCUGGCGCACCAGCCACAUACCAGCGGCUGAAGACGGUAUGUGCGUGGCCGCGUAUGAAACAUGCAGUGACUGAAUUUGUCCAAUCCUGUGCAGUUUGCCAACAGGCCAAGCCCGAGAGAUGCAAGUACCCCGGCCUCCUUGAACCCCUUCCGGUUCCUGUUCGUGCAUGGCAGAUGGUUUCUAUGGAUUUCAUCGAAGGAUUGCCACGGUCAGGACGAUUCAAUUGCAUUUUGGUCGUCGUGGAUAAGUUCUCCAAAUACAGCCAUUUCCUACCAUUGUCGCAUCCAUUCUCUGCUUCCCAAGUGGCAACUACUUAUGUGGAUAAAGUUUACAGACUGCAUGGACUACCAGAUUCUAUUCUAUCCGACCGAGAUCCAAUCUUUACAAGCAGAUUCUGGCAAGAGCUCUUUCGACAAACCCAAACAACCCUUCGGAUGAGCACACCAUAUCACCCGGCCACGGAUGGGCAAACUGAGCGUACAAACCAAUGCCUCGAGACUUUCCUCAGAUGUUUUGUGCAUUCUUGUCCAAAGAAAUGGAGUUCAUGGCUUCCUCUUGCUGAAUUCUGGUUUAACACCAGCUGGCACAGUGCUCUUGGGAAAUCCCCCUUCUUUGUCCUUUACGGCCACGAACCUCGACAUUGGGGUAUCGAAGCAGCCUCAGCCACUCCAGUUUCUGAUCUGAACACUUGGUUAUCAGAACGGGAAGAAAUGCAAGCUCUAAUUCGACAACACCUCCUCCGAGCUCAGACGAGAAUGAAACACCAAGCUGACAAGAACCGAUCUGAACGAAGCUUUGAAAUUGGGGAUUCUGUCUACAUUAAACUCCAACCUUAUGUUCAGAGUUCUGUUGCUCGCCGAGCGUGUCAUAAGCUCUCGUUUCGCUACUUUGGGCCAUUUCUGGUGCAAGCUCGCAUUGGACAAGUGGCUUACCGUGUGGGUUUACCAGAGACUUCGAAGAUCCAUCCCGUCUUUCACGUCUCGCAGCUUCGCAAGGCUGUGAAACCAGGUGUGUCUGUUUCCUCUGUUCUUCCUCACAAUACUAAUCAGUUUGCGGUUCCUUUGGAAGUGCUUGACAGUCGCCAAAAGACCAAGGCCAAUAGAGUGGUUGAACAAGUGCUCGUCCGUUGGUCUGGUGACACUCUGGAGCCGACGUGGGAGGAUCGUGACGAGCUCCAGUCACGUUUUCCGUGCGCCGCGGCUUGGGGACAAGCCGCAACUCAAGCAGGGGAGGGUGUUAGCAGGCUUGCCAGUACUACGCCAUCGUCCCAACCGCCAGUCGAGGCCGACGAAGGAACGGCCCAAGGCCCAGCUAGGAGAGCCAGCAAGCCCAACAAACGAGUGGCUGGCGAGGAGUGGGUGAACACGACCCAGGAAGCAUAAAGCAGGGGAUCGCUCUCUGGACAAGGAUCGAAGAUCGAUCAGGCUGGAACGGCACGGCGGCGGCGGCUACCUACUUAGAACCCUAGUUCCUUUCCCUUUUCCUUCCUGUAUCCAGCACUGAUGUGCUUGUAAGAAGAGAAUCCUGUACUCUGAACCACAUACAUACCUGAGACAUUAGUGCAGUCCUAACAUGUGCUGCAUCCGACAGGGAAGCAACAGUGUGAGGCGUCAAUGGAGGAAGCGAAGCAGGGAGAGGAGAGAGGUAAGGGAGAAGAGAGGCACCUGUUUGGAGGGCGGCACACAGUUGACGCGCCGCCGGCGUGUCCUUGGCCGGCGGCGCUCGGGCAUCGGGCGGCCACGGUCGGCCACCUUGGCCGGCGGCGCUCGGGAAUCUUGCGGCCAUGGCCGUCUCUCUGCGCGCCCGACGACGAGGCGAGGUUGGGGUGGCCGGGAACGGGUAGAUCGGAGGCGGGGCAACUUGAUCCGGUAGUUGUGAUCGAAGAACCGGUGGCGGACGACGUUCUCCGGCGACGGCGGCGCGGAUCCGAGGCCAUGGCAUGCUCCUGUUCGUCCUGGGGACAGAGAAAUCGGGGGAUGAGCGAGGUGAAAGGAGACAGAGGAAUAGAGGGUGGAGCAGGGCACAGCGGCACUCAUCUCCGGCGAGGAUCCGGUCGCCGGCGGGUCGCGAGGUCGAGGCGGCGGCGCGCUCGGGAGCUCGGCCUCGGGCGCGUGGCUGCGGACGCGGCGUACGGGCGGCGCUCGACUGGCUUGGGCCCAGAUGUUUUCUAACUUGGACUGCGGUACAAUUUCCAAACAAUAGGAGGACGUUUUUGCAAAACGGCCGCGACGGGUGUGCGGGCAUCAGCAGUAGAUGCUUUAUUAUUCAGAAUAGAUAAAUCCCGAACAUUCGGAAUUUAAGCAUGUCAUUCCGAAUGUUUUUGAUGGCAACUUUUGUUGCUGCGAGGUGGCAACUUUAGUUGUUUAUUAUUCGAAAUAGAUAAAUCCCGAACAUUCGGAAUUUAAGCAUGUCAUCCGAACGUUUUUUGAUGGCAAUUUUUGCUGCUGCGAGGUGGCAACUUUAGUUGUUAACACAUGGCAACUUCAUUCCGGUUUGAUCUUUUGUUAGAAAAUUGCCAUGUUUGUCAACAUCGCCUUAACUAAAGUUGCCAUGAAAAGAAUUCGGAUUAGCAUGCUUAAAUUCCGAACGUUUGGGACUUAUUGAGUUCCUUAUUAUUAGGUAAAGGUAAAGAUAAAGAUUAUUUUAGAGAUGCUUUGUACGGAAUCGGGUGAACGUAAUAGAUCUGAUCCUUUUGAAAAGAAAAAAGAGACGAGCCAACUAAGUGACUGAAUCCAACACAACACAGAGACACAGAGAGAAGCAACAUGCAUCAUUAACCGCACAAACUAAUUGAAGCCGCAAACACGCCGGAGCCACGACCGAUCUUCACCCAAACCACAUGCAUGGAUGCAUGCGUGCAUGCAUGCAGAUGAAGAGGCAACAUCGAUGGAGCUCCUUUUAUUUCUGGUCAAUCCUAAGAUCGACCGGCACGGAAGACACGAACGAACAGGCGCCGACGGAGGCGGAAGCUCAGCAGUCCCGCUCGCAGUAGCACUUGCGCUCGACGUAGUGCGUGUUGCACUGGCCGCGGGGGAACUUCUCGGUGCGGCACACGCUGGCGCAGUUGGUGUCGCUGAAGCAG